UGGUGGUAUUCUCUAAUAGUGUUGCAUUUGACUUAGGUCAAGGUGCAUGCUAGAUUUAUUGGCACCAAAGUCUUGUGUCUUAUUUCUCCAAAUAUUGAGUCUCACCCAUUUCUUGUAAUUCUUUAAAUUAUCAUCACAAAGAGAACAUGAAGACCUACUUUAAUAUAAAAUAUUUUGAUAUAUAGUUAUGGGCUUAUGGCAAAUAAAUGACGAAUAGUUGCUUCAUGUUGUUGAGUCUCACAAAAUGAUGGUUUUUGCUAACUGUACUUAUGAUAGGAAUGAGGAAUGAAGUUUGAAUAGUUUCUUGUUGUUGAGCCCCAUGAAAUGGUGGUCUAUGCUAGUGAUGGUCACCUGAUGGCAAACUUGAGUACUGUUAAAUCUCAACUAUUGUGCUUAUUUGGUUCCAAGGCAUAUUCUCCUUAGGAUGAUUGCAUUUGCUUCAGCUAUUUGUGGUUAUCUUUGAGCUGGUUGAAUUUAUUUUCUUGUUAAUUUAAUAUGCUUAUAUUAUACUAGGGGGUAGUGUAGGUGGGUAGGGGGGUGCCUAACACUGCCAAUGCCGGUCCCAAGCCCGGAUAGAAGUGGAGGGGGCACGUUGAAUGGUUAAUAAUGAAGUCUCAAAAUAAGAGUUCUUGAGUAGCUUACAGUAUUUGACAUUAAGAGAAUAAAUGGUUUAAUGGAAGGCUAAUAUCAACUAACUUACAAGUUGUAACUGAGAGAUGUAAAAGUGGGCACGUUGUCAAGAGUUUUGUCUGUGUUAAACGAAUGUAAUUUAUUUAUGUCUUGUUUAGUUCAUCCAAAAACUUUUUAAGAUUUCCUGUCAUAUUGAAUCUUAUGGCACAUACAUGAAAUAUUAAAUAUAGAUAUAAAAAAUAAUUAGUUACAUAGUUUGAUUGUAAUUUGUGGGACGAAUCUUUUGAGCCUAGUUAGUCUAUAGUUGGACAAUAAUUGUAAAAUAAAAACGAAAAUGCUAGAGUCCCCAAAAAUUUUUCACCUUCUCAACUAAACAAGGCCUAGUGUUUGGAGCUUUUAAAUUUGACAGCAGACACAGACCUGGAGUAUAUUCAAAUGAAAAGAUGUUCUCUGUAGACAGAUGUUUUGCGAUUUCCUAUGGGGUGGUCAUCCUUCCAUAACUUUUGUUUACUUCUUGUUUCUUAAUCUUAGAUCUUUGAAAGCCAUUUAAGACUCAUAACAUACCAUUUUUUUCUUACUCUUAUAUUGUGUUGAAUUGCGUUGCAAGUUUUUAGCCGUAGCAAUCCUGCUAGUUAUAAGGAAUUUGGUGAAGUAACUCCCCAUUUUCGUUUAAAACAAGUUAUUGAAAUUAAGACCGGGCAAACUUUGGUUUCUAGAAUCUAGUAGCCGAUCGUUGUCACAGCAACGUAGAGAAACCAACAAGUUUAGUACCAGUUUCUUCGGUUUGGUUUUUGGUUGAACCGAACCAACACAACACUGAGGUGGCGAUUGGAUACAGGGAUAUAGAGAGUGGCAUAGGAAAAGAGAAAUGGAUGAUCAGGAUGAACGGUAGGAUUAAAUGAAGCGUAAAGAAUGAAUGGCUAGGAUAUAAUAUUACUCUUUGGAGGGUGAAAAAUCUCUAUCCCUUUCCCUAUCCCAAUCUUCAUCCAAACGCCACGAAGAUACAAGAAGUUUGCCGCCUCAUCGAUGUCACGUUGUUUCCUCAACUUGUCGAUGCCACGCCCCCACCGUCCGCCAUACCAAUGACACUUCUGCAAUCCAUCACCCUAUUGAUGCCACACGUGUCACCCCGCUCCACCCACUUUUGCAGCCACGCCCCGUGCCACAGAGAAGCCACGAUGCCCUUCUCCGGCGCCACUCCCACUGGUUGCCGGCGAGGAGCUGUCCCUGACCCCCUCCUCGCACGGGAACGCCCCUACGGCCCUACCAUAAAGAAGCCACGUAGCCGUCACGCAUGGUCUGAGGACCGAGAGCAGGAAGGAAAUGAGGAGGUGAGGAUUGAUUCGUACAGCCAUGAAAGAGAUUUAUAGGUUAGGGUCAGUUUUUUUAUUUGAAACUGAACCUCGGGAUAGAAUCAGUUAGGGGGUGUUUAGUUUCCUUUCAUUCAAAAAAUUUUAGGUUUUAGUUUAUUAUUUUGCAUAAUAGAACUAAAAACCCUGUAAAUUUUUUGGCAAAAAAGAUGAUUAUUCUUUAUUUUUGGAUUUUAGCUUUAAGAGAGCGUCAAGAGGCCCUAACGAGGGCAAUAAAUUCUGUAUUUUGGAUGAAACUAAACAUAAUUCUAAAAAUUUUGACAUUUUAUAUUUUAUCAUUCUAAAGUAGUUGAUAUUUUGUAUUUUAUAUUCUAUGGGGGAACUAAACACACCCUUAUUUAGGUGAUUGGCUCAGGGGUGUUUAGUUCCCCUUUUAUACCAAAAAAAUUCUGGGUUUUCAUCUAUUAUUUUGCAUAAUAGAAUUAAACACCAUACAAAAUUUUCGACAAAAUAGUUGUUAUUCUCAAUUUUGAAUUAUGAUCUCAAAAGGAAAAAAAUCCCAAAAGAACCUUAUUAAGAGGCCAUAAUAAAAGUAAUAAAUUUUACAUUUUAAAUAGAACUAAAUAUAACACUAAAAAUAUUAAUAUUUUACAUUUUAGUUGGGAUCUGGAACCAAAGCCGAAGUCGAUAACUGUACUUCUCAUAUACUAAAUCCGAAACUGAACCAACAACGCAAAAGCCGAGAUUUCGACUCAGGCCUUGUUUAGUUCUCAAGAUUUCUCAUUACAUCAAAUUUUGAGGCACAUGCAUGGAGUAUUAAAUAUAGAUAAAAAAUAACUAAUUAUACAAUUUGCUUGUAAUUUGUGAGACGAAUCUUUUAAGCCUAGUUAGUCCAUGAUUAGACAAUAUUUGUCAAAUAGACUAGACAAUAUUUGUCAAAUACAAAUGAAAAUACUAGUGUCCAUUUUAUAAAAAAUUUUGAAACUAAACAAAGCCUUGUGUCGAUUUGGCUCAGUUUUAGUUAAUGUUUAUAACCAAUUCAAAUAUAGUAAUCACAAUAUCUUCUUAUAACAAGAAUUAUUUGAUUUGUACCAUAAUCUGUUCUAACAUUAACUUAUAUUUCGAUAGUGACACAUGACAGAUAAAGUGUCUAACGGAUGCAGUGUAAGGAGCCGUUUGAUUGUAGAAACUGAAGUUUAAUAGGUGUUACAUUAAAUGCUAUAUGCGGUGGUUUAUAGAGUAUUUAGAUACUAAUAGAAAAACAAAUUACAGAUUCCAACACUACACGAGAUGAAUUUAUUAAGCUUAAUUAAUCUAUCAUUAGCAUGUAUUACUGUAGCAAUUAGUGCCUGAUCAUAGACUAAUUAGGCUUUGAAAAAUCAUCUUGCAAAUUAAUCUGUAGUUGUAUUUUUAAUUUCGUAAGUAGUCUUUUUUUAGAAAAAAAGGUUUUCCUGCUUUUGCAUUCCAAAAGCGAAACAAACAUCCUGUUUAGUGUUUUUGGCGCGCCCGCCUUACAAAACAUUCAGUUCUACGACGACAUCACUGAAUUGCUUAAAGCAUUUCUACCAGCUAACACAGUUUGAUCAUAAACUGCAUAAGCCUCUUCAGUAAACUGCUGGCUUGGAACCGCAACGCUGGAAUUUAAAAGCAGAGUAUCCAAUUGUGCCAACCCUAAUAACGAGUUCUCCUGGCUGCACCACGUCAGUUGAGGCGGAGAUAAAGCUUUUACCUCCAGCUGAACAAUCACUUCUUCGAUCCGCAUCAAGAGCAUCCAUCUUCUGAGCAUCCUGGCAAUUUUGAACAACAUAUCUUUCACCCCAUCCAUUUGCGACCCUGAAAACACAUCUCAUUUCUAAACUUCCACAUAGACCAUAAAACUGCAGAUGAGACUAUGUUAAGGAUCUUAUGUAUUUUGUUAGCUAGUCAAAACCGGGCCACAGAUUCAAAAUCCAAACCAAUUCUCACUCCUAGCACAUCAGCGAUAUAAUCCCUUAUCAAAUUAACAAAGCAGCAUUCAAAAAACAAAUGAAUAAUGGACUCAUUUUCAGCAUAGAAUAAGCAAGUAGGAUCAUCCACCUUCCUCCUUUUAGCUAGAUUAUCUCGAGUUAAAAGUUUAUUUUUGGACAAAACCCAUAAGAAGAAUUGAACUCUUGGUGGAAUGAAUAACUUCCAAACUGAACUAACAAAAACAAGAAUAAUCCCUCUAAAAUUAACCACGGCAUACAAAGAUUGAAUGGAAUACUGUAAGCCCAGACUAUUUGAUCAUCUUCUUGAGAAAGAUUAAUAUCACUCAUAAGAUCCACUAAUCCCACCAAAGAUUCAUCAAAUGUUCAGACAUAGAUCUUCUAAAGGUGAGCAUCAAAUUCUCACCAUCCUAGACCUCUUUCACAGUUUUGCCUUAUUGUUCAUUAAUAACAUACAAGGGCCAAUAUAAAAUAGCAAGACUUGUAUUUCCCACCCACUGGUCUUCCCAGAAUCUAACUUUUGAACCAUCACCUAAUUUCCAAUGUAUACCUCUCUUAGCAGCCUGCAUAGCCCAAAGAACACCUUUCCAGAAAGGAGAUGUACCAACAUAAGAGCAGCAAAGCACAUUUGGAUUUUCCGCUCUAUAUUUGAAAUCCACAAUUUUUGUCCAAAUUGUAUCUUUGUUGAGUUGGUAUCUCAAGAUCCAAACACUCAACAAAGCAAUAUUUAAACUUCUUAAAUCUGAAAUCCCCAAGCCUCCAAACUCUUUCUUCUGUGCCACCAAAGGCCAAUUAACUAGGUGAUAUCUAUGUUUUUCUUCAGAAUUAUCCCAUAGAAAAUGUCCCAUAUGGAAAUUAAUCAUGUCUAUAGUCCAUCUAGGGAACUUAAUAACAGAAAGAAGGUAAAUGGGGAUGCUUGCCAGGCAAACCCUCAACAAAGUGAGUCUGCCAGCAUAUGACAAAAGCCUUCCCCUCCAACCUACUAUCCUCUUAAUCACUUUAUCAAUAACGAUUGUAAGUCAACUCUCCUUAGCUUUGAGUAAUGAAGAGGUACACCCAAAAAUUUGAUUGGGAACUCACUUUUCUUGCAACAAAAGAUUUUUGCAAAAGAAUUAGAGCAUCCUCAUCCAUCCCAAUAGUGAGUAAAUCGCUUUUAUCGCAAUUAAUCUUCAUGCCAGACAUUUGUUCAAAGCAAACUAAAACCAUUUCAUAGAACUGGCUUUCUCUAAAUUAUUUUCUAAAAACAACAUGUCAUCGACAUAAUGUAAACUAAUAAUCCCACCAUCCACCACCUGAGGAAGUAAGCCUGAGAUUAAACCACACUUAGCUGCCUUCAUUAGCGUCUUUGUAAAAACAUCUGCUACUAGAUUAAACAGCAAGUGAGAAAAAGGACCCCUGCCUAAGACCUUUUCUUGGUUUGAAGAAGGUACUAUUUUCAUCAUUUAUCCUAACACAGAUAGAACCUCCUUCCACUAUCUUCCUGAUCUAGCUAAUCCAUAUGGAUUUGAAGCCUCUAGACUGGAGCAUCUCCAUUAAGGAGUUUCAACUUACUCUAUCAUAAGCUUUUUCAUAGUCCAAUUUGAGAAUAACCCCACAUUCUUUAUUUUUGUUAACCUCAUGAAUAAUUUUAUGGGCAGCCACCACGCUUUCCAGAAUGUAUCGUCCUUGUUAAUAAAGGAUGUUUGAUUAGAAGAAAUAAGUAUAUUUGCCACACUUAUCAGCCUAUUAUUGAGAAACUUACCAAAAAGUUUGAAACUACAAUUCAACAGACUAAUAGGCCUAAAUUUCUUCUAAUACUUGGCCUCAGGUUCUUUUGGAAUAAGCGUAAUCAUUGCAAAUAUAAUCCUCUCAAGGUGUAGCUCUUCUUUCUCAAAGGACCUAAUCAACAUCAUAUAAUCGCUUUUAACAAUAUUCCAAAAAGUUUGAUAAAAAAGGAAAGAAAAACCAUCUUGUCUAGGUGCACCUUCAGCAUAAGAGCCAAAAAUUGCAUCUCUUCUUCAGAGAAGGGGGCUUCUAGGAUCCUAUUCUCCUCUGUAGUGACUAACUCAUCUUCCUCCUAGAAAUCAGCCCCUAACUUGACCUCACUACUAGGUUCUCUACCAAAAAGAGAUUUAUAAAAGUGCACAACAUGCUCAAGCAUGCCCUUAUUAUCAUCAAUCCACCCCUCAGGGCCUUCCAAACCCUCAAUCAUUUUUUCCUAUUUCUUUGAUUAGCUACUGCCAUAAAAUAGGUCGUGUUCUUAUCACCUUCCUUAACUUGCCUAUCUCUAGACCUCUAUCGAGCCUUAAUUUCUUCCAUUCUCCAAAUGACUUUCAAAUCUCUAUUAAUAAUAUCCAACCUACUCUUCUCCUCCGAAGAUAAAGAUCUUCUCUCAGAUUGUCCAUCUAACAUCUGGAACUCCUCAAGGAGAUCCUUUUUAAGUUUUUUAAUACUUGCAUUGACGUUAAUAGCCCACCCUUUAAUCUUUUUUCUGCUUAAUCUGACUUGAAAAGCAUCUAGGCCCCUAAUGAGUUUCGGUGAUUAAUGACAAUGUUGAUUACUAUGACUAACGUGUGUUUUGCAGAGGCAAAGUCAUUAGUAUUAGGUCAUGGUAAUGAUGAUCGAUGGACUAGAAGGUUCAUGCCUAAUUAAUAGUGGAAAUCGUUUCGGUUUUCAAAGGAUGGUUGGACAUCGUCAAGACUAGACUAGAUCUAAGUGCCAUAUGGUGAAGAAGGGCACUUAGAGUAGUUUAGGACUUUGUUUUUUCCUUUGACCGUACUAUUAAGAGGGUCAUUGAAUGAGUAGCUUGAAAGAUUUUGUGUAGUAGUGAUUUAUACAUGUGCUCUCCUCUCUAUUUUAAGCACAGAAUCUACGUAUUCAUUGAUGUAGAGAACUUAUCAUUGGACGAAUUCUAACGAGCAAAGACAUUAGUGCUAAAGGCUCAACACCUGAGAUUACCAUCAAACACCAAACCAACAUGCAAAACAAGGCCUUCUUUAGUUCCAAAUUUUUUUGCAAAAUGGACACUAUAGCACUUUCGUUUGUGUUUGACAAAUAUUGUCUAAUCAUGGACUAACUAGGCUGAAAAGAUUCGUCUCGCAAAUUAUAGGCAAACUGUACAAUUAUUUAUUUUUUUUAUCUAUAUUUAAUGCUCCAUGAUGCAUGUGCCGCAAGAUUCGAUGUGAUGGGAAUGUGAAAAAUUUUGCAAAAUUUAUUGGGAACUAAACAAGGUCCAAAUGGGGGAAUAUUUUGCUAACUAUUAGUAGACCUAACGAUGAAGAGAGAGAGCUAAUGAAAACAGAGUUAAGGAUACAGCUAUACAAGAUCGGUUAUUGUCUUAGUUCAACACACAGGAUAAUGUUCAUUAUAUUUGUGUUUGAUAUAAUCCUAUCUAUGUUUGAUCAUUGUUUGAAAGUAUUAAAUAGUUACUAGACUGUCAAAUAGAUAACACAUUGUACAAAUUGUCUUUCACUUGACUAUGUGUGAGGUGAAAAAAAAAAGUUGUAGACAAAAACCGGCCAACUGAGACUACAUUUUGUCGUUGACUUGUGGUUGAUCAUCAACAAACAUAUGCGAUGAUCUCCGAAUAUGAAGAGAUCAUCAGGGCUGGAAUGGAUGCCGUGAAAUUGUUCCAGUUGGAUUGGUAGGUUUAUUUGUAGUAAUAUAGAUUAGGGUCCGUUCGUUUCUGUGCUGGAAUGCGGACCUGGAACCAUUCAAUAUUUUUUGUAACGGGUGAAGGUCUAAGUCAGACGCAUGGUGGUCCUUUGUCAAUGACAAAAAAAAUGGAGCUUUAGAUAUAUUGACAGCGGCCCCAGCCCCACCACACGGCCACACCAUGCAUUUCGUCCCCUAAAAUUUCGAUUUUCGAUUUCAAAACCAAACGGAGCCGAUCCCAACGUCUUCUCCUAUGCACACGGCUGACCACAGCUUUAAUUUAGUGCUCGUGUGCAUGCAGAACACAUGCAUUCUAUCUUAAACUAACAUACGACCUGCUCGUUGUGAGGAAGUAAUAUAAAUCAGUGAGCGAUCACCUUCGGCUGGCAGGGUUCGGAGUUCUCUAUCACUCGUCUCCUCCCACAACCAACCAACAAUCCACGCAAUUCGUCGGGAACCCUAGCCGGAUCUCAUCCGCGCCGGCGGCGGAAAUGGCGAAUCAUCCCCGCGCGGCGCUGCUGGAGGAGUACCUCGAGCGCGCGCGGGAGUACCUGGUCGAGGGCUCCGGCUGCUACGACACCUCCAUCACCUUCUUCAACGCCGCCAUCGUCCAGAUCGACAAGUGAGCUUCCCUAUUAUGCCGUGGAUUCUUCGGUGGCUAUCAGGCCACUACGGCGAAUUAUUAGCGAUCGGUCGGUGUGUGAAUCGCGAUGCAUGCCCAGCCCGCGCGGAUUUACCGGUUUGGCCGCACGGCAACGGUUUUCAUUUCGGCUGCUGCAUGCUUUCAGUUGUUUGUCAGUCUUAGUUUUGCUCUGUGGUGUGCUUUCUGCUGAAACGCCGGUUAUGUUGUUAUUAGGUCUAUCCCCAUUUUUAGUUUUCAUUUUUUUUUGAAAGAGAAAAAGAGACAAAUAUAAUUGGUUUGCAUCCAUAUAUUAUUAGGAGAAAUGAUUCACAUUCCUUUUCAUUUAGUAUCAACUAGCUUAUGUAGGAUAAAUUUGACGGUAAUAGUCGAAUACUGUAGGUGUGGGAAGAUAUUGAAAAGCUUAAAAAAAAUAUUUUCCUUGUACUUCAUGUUAGUAUAUGAUGGAUAAACUAUGCAGGCAUACCGAUUCAUACAAAAUGGAUGAACUAUCAUCAGAAAAUAAUGGGUGAAGUUAAAAAAAUUGUGAAACAGCUGUAUGCUUUGAUUCUUUAUUUUAGUCUUGCUAAAGUUUCAAAAUAGUAUGUGGUGUGUUCAAUAUAGAACGGUGGAAUCAUGUCAAAGUUACUGUUACAUACAUAAUAGCUUUGAAGCACUGUCCCAAUGGGCGGGGAAAUUCAUCACAUUCUUAUUUGUGUUCCAUGUUAUUAAGGUUAAUCUUAACCAUACAGGCAUCUAACUACUUUGGACAAUAAUGCUAAGAUUCGUACGAAAUGGUUGGACUGCAAGAACGCAAUAUAUGAAGAAAUGGAACUUACGAAACAGUUGGAUGCUCAAUUAAAGUCCCGUAAAGAAGCUCCUGGGACGAGGCGGUCAUCGUCACCUCCUAUUCGCUCCAAUAAUAAAUCAUUUGUUCUCCAACCAUUGGACGAGUAUCCCACAUCUUCACCAGCACCCUUUGAUGAUCCUGAUGUGUGGGCUCCACCAAGGGCUAAAGCAACCCGAAGACCAUCAAGACAUCAAUCUGGUGCAAGAAAAUCCUCCCAAGAUGGAGCCUGGGCACAUGGUUCAGCAAGGACUGGAACACCUAGCCAAAGCGCAAAACCUAAUGGGAGUAAAAGAGGCUAUGCGGUUAAAUCGUCAGCUGCCUCUAAGAGUUGUGUAAGGAAAGGAAAACCAAGUUCAAUCAAGGCUCACUCAGCGGUAAUUUCUAUCAAAUAAGUGUUUGCAUACCUAAAUCUUUUGUUUCAAAAAAUAUGAUGUGUAUUCAUUCUAAUUUCCAUUGUCCACAUUGACAUAAGGCAAACUAUCUGACUCUAAUUGAUGUGCUAGUAACUUGUUUUUUUUUUGUUUUUGGAAGUACAUCUAUGUAUCAAUAUUCAUAGUAGAAAAAAUACCUUUAUACCUCAAACAAAGCAUCUAGAUUAUGCGCUUCUUUUAUAAUUAGUUCUCAUGUGUAUAUACCUUUCAAACUAGCACCUUCUCAGUGCACACAGAAUUUGAGUAAACAUAUUUCUUUGGUGUAUUGCUCAAUCAAUCGUCUAUUGCCACUUAAUUCACUGUGCUUUCUAUAAGGUGGCUAACAUAAUAGAUUUUUAAGAUGAAUACUCAAUAUCAUCAUCAUCUAUCCCUUCUGUACCUGUGUCCAGGGAGGCUGCCAAGUAUGCAGUUGUGAUUAGCAGGUUGUCUUGGUCGGGACCCUGAUGCCUAGGCGCUGUGGUGGCAACCUGGGUCAGCGUACUUAAUGAUCAAAUCUUGAAGAUGAGAUAACAAUUCAGUCAAAUGAAGUCUCUUAUCUAUAUAUGUUGAUAUACUCGCAUUUACCACUUAUCUCCUCUGUGCCUAGAUUGUCUGCAUAUCUUUUAGGCAUAGCAUGCUAGCAUAGUAGCAUACUAGACGAGAAUUGACGUUUAGAUGGCAAAAGGAGAUAACAUAAAACUAUGAUGAAACGGCAGUGCCUAUCAUUAGGUUCUGAAUCAGGACACUAGAAUAUGCACGUGUACAAUCAUAUACCCCUGUUAUCAUCCUUCUGCCAAGAUAGGCAAUUGCCAGUGACCUCCUUUUUUUUCUGGCCAAAUUGCCAGCUACUGACUUACUUGUAAUGAUAAAGUUUCUGAAAAAACAUCAUUUUCCAGAGUAGUGGCGCUGAGGAAGGCAAGUCCAAGAAGGCUCAGUAUUAAGGGCCAGAUAUGGACUUAGCUGCAAUGCUUGAAAUGGAUGUUCUGGAUUCUACUCCAGGACUAAGAUGGGAUGAUGUUGCCGGACUUAGUAAGGCCAAAGACCUCCUCCGUGAAGCAGUUCAGCUUCCUGUCUGGAUGCCUGAAUAUUUUCAGGUAAUAUCUGCUAUGCAGUCUCUUAUUGGUUCAAACAUAGCACUGUAAAGUAUCUGAAAGAUGUUUAUUUAUUCUUGGCGCUAGCAAAUUUUACAGGCACAUAGCGAUGGGAAUGAUCUGGCAUUGCAACUAGUUUCUUAGUGCUCUAGCAUGGACAUCGUCUAGAUAUGCACAAUUACUGGUUUUUCUAUACCACUGUAGAAAAUGUUGCUUGGAACCCUAAUCAUUUUGAAUUUUUACUCUUUUAUGUUUAUGACCAUGGAUAUGAUAUGGCAUGAAACUGGUGCUUCCUUUAUUUGGUGCCACGGAUGGUUUCUGGAUACUUGUAUUUGUUUUCUUAAUUGUGACUGCAAUUUGGAUCAUGUUGUUCUCGAAUGAUCAUGAACCCAACCAAUCUUUUCUCUCUUGUAGUCCUUUUCAUCCAUUGUAAACUCUAUACAUAGUUGCUAAUUAUGUCUACUCUUCCUUAUCAGGGUAUUCGUCGACCUUGUAAAGGAGUUCUUAUGUUUGGUCCACCAAGCACAGGAAAGACUCUUUUGGCAAAGGCAGUGGCCACAGAAUGUGGAACGACAUUCUUUAAUGUUUCCUCUGCAACAUUGGCCUCUAAAUGGCGCGGCGAGAGUGAGCGCAUGGUCCGUUGUUUAUUUGACCUUGCGAGGGCCAAAGCUCCAAGUACAAUUUUCAUUGAUGAAAUUGACUCCUUAUGCACAUCGCGUGGGUAUGUCAAUUUAAUUUUGCUAAUUGUUGUUCAUGUCUUCAAGUCAAUGAAAAAUUCCUUAAUAUUUUGCAUCAUAAGCAUGAAUGUAUCAUUCUGCUGGACAACGAAAAUUGUAACUAUAUUGCCAGUUAAUGUAUUUAUCCAUUUUCUUUGUAAAUAUCAGAGCAUCUGGUGAGCACGAGGCAUCAAGAAGGGUGAAGUCUGAACUUCUAGUGCAAAUUGAUGGUUUAAACAAUAGCUCCACCACUGAAGAUGGUCAGCCAAAAAUUGUAACGGUUCUGGCUGCUACGAAUUUUCCAUGGGAUAUUGAUGAGGCACUGAGGUUGGCAAACUCUUAUUCUCAUAUUCACUUCAUUUUAGGUGCUACUGCCUACUUAUGAAUAGGGGUUGAUACCUGGAAGAUGCAUAGGAUGGUUUUCACAUAAACCAGUCAUACCAUAGCAGUAGAGCUUGAUUGCUUGAGUGGUGCUGCUAGUAGUGUUAGAUACUGUCGAAGUCGGAGGCGCAUUUUAUUUGAUUUCUCAACUUUUGACAUAAUCGUUUUGUCUCAUUCAUGCUGCAUUUGUCACACCACUGACCACUGUUUGUUUGGUAAGAUAAGAAACUAUCGUAGUUCAUAACUGCAGUAUAUGGAAGAUGUAAUUUACGAGAGACAAACCUGCACCUUGUAUAAGACAUGUAGCCAACACAGUAUGUAAGCAGUUAAGCACAGACACUUCUAUGAGGAUUAUAGGUGUUCACGGGUGAGGCUGAAAAAAUAGUGCUAGUCAUCCCAAAUUCACAUUAUAUCCCCGCUAGGACAAAAACCAUGCACCCACGACAGCAGCUGGGCCGUCAAACCAGCCAGUGAUGUAGGCAUCUAGGCUUGAGUGUGGGCUGUGUUUGAUCGGAGGCUACGCCCAAUGCUGCCUUAUAUAUACCAUGUCAUAUAAACACAAGUAUGUUAAACUUACCUAAUGCGUAUCUUCCAUCUUGGUGAUUUUUUUUCUUAGAAAUUCUAACUCAAUUGUUUGUUGCAUAUGCUGUAUCCAUGACACUUUUUUUUACUGGUUCAACAGAAUUUUGCCUAUAACUAGGCUAGCAGCAUUUUACCUGCUAGUUAUCAUUUACUCUAGUCUAGAUAUUUAUGUUCCACAUGAAAACACUAUUUUUUUUGUUUUUCAUUAUUAUCUUUUACCUGACUAUUCCCAUGUAUGCUACUACUUUUGCCAUUGAUACUUCUCUUCUCCAAACGCAUCUACCACUUCCAAUCCAAAUUAUAGUUCACUUUAACUUUAUCUUAAGUCAUUUUUUAUCUUUGACCAAGUUUAUGGAAAAAUGUAUCAAUAUCUACAAUAUCAAUUUUAUUUUCAUAAAAUUAUCCAUGAAAUAUUUAUUAACAGUGCAUUUAUUCAAAUUCAAAGUUGUAGAUGUUAAUAUAUUUUUCUAAAACUUUGGUCAAAGUUGAGAAGUCUGAUUUAGGAGAAAGCAAAAGAAAACUAUAAUUUGGAAUAGGGAAUAUGCUACUUUUGUUCACAUUAAUGUGGGUUGUUGACUCUUAAAUUGCCCAGCAGGAGGUUCGAAAAGCGUAUUUAUAUUCCACUUCCAGAUUUUGAAAGUAGAAAGGCACUUAUCAACAUUAAUCUUAGAACAGUUCAGGUAUGUGUUGGAGAUAUCUUUCAAGAUCAGCUUGUGAUAUAUUUAUCUCCUUUCCUUUGUUUCAUUUGAGUCUUUGUGAACAAAUUGAUUUUAUCAGACAUACCAUGAUGCACAUGUCAAAAUUGUUGGCACUUAAUUUUCUGAAAUCACAUGUACAUGCCUGCAUAUAUAUGUUGGCCUGCAUAUAUAUGUUGGCCUGCAUAUAACCAGUAUAUAUAUGUUGGCCUGCAUUUUUUUUCUUUUAUGAAUUUUUGAUUUUCCUAAUGAUAAGUAAAUGCCCUUGAAAAUGGAUACUUAUUUAAGAACUGCACUGGUGUUUUUUUAACGAAUUUGCUCACUACUCUAAUUCUGUACAUGUGGAUUAUCAAUUACUGUGUCAUAUCUUCAGUGGCUUAUUGUUAUUGCUGUACCUUCUUUUACAUCGACAGAUAGCUGUGGAUGUUAACAUCGAUGAGGUUGCUCGGAGGACAGAAGGCUAUAGUGGAGAUGAUCUGACAAAUGUUUGCCGUGAUGCUUCAAUGAACGGUAUGAGGUGCAAGAUAGCAGGCAAGACCCGUGAAGAGAUCAAGAACAUGUCAAAGAAUGGGAUAGCCAAGGACCCAGUGACCAUGUGCGACUUUGUGGAGGCCCUCAUGAAGGUCCAGAAGAGUGUCUCGUCUGCAGACAUAGAAAAGCAUAAGAAGUGGAUGACUGUGUUUGGGUCCGCCUGAGACCUUGGUCAUCCCCUUAUAUCGUCUUCAACAUUGUUUGUGUGGUUGACACGGUAUUUGGUAGCAAUAUAUGUUGUUAUCCGCUGGUGGUCUUGUUGCAUAGACCAAAGGCACAAACUAUCUUGUCUAUUUUCAGUGAUGCUAGGAAUUAAGUUCACAGUUAUAUUAUUUCAAUUCUUGAUAUGUACUUUCUAGCUGUGAAAUGUGCCUCAUCAAUUAGCCGUGGCAGCCAUUGUUAGAUGUUGAUUCAACGUGACUGCAGCUCUAAUCACUUUGUCACUGCGCAGUGCCAGUGCAGAGCUUUUUCUUUCCUUCUAUUUAUGGUCCUGUGUUUUGCAUUCGUCAGUUCCAAAUGUGUUGCCAUGCAUCCGUCAUGUUACAUAAAAGCACUUCUGCUAUCGAACGGUACAUUUGCUCUUUGUUCCAUUUGCUAUAGGCUUUGUUUAGAUACGAAUUUUUUUUGGAUUUCGACACUGUAGCACUUUUGUUUGUCUCUACCACGUAUAAUACACCAGUUGUGAACUUUACACAACCACACCAAUAAUUAUCCACCACAGUCAUGACUAUCCUACAACCACCCAAAAAAUUGCACCUAAUAUCAGCCAACCUUUCAAAUGAACGGAUAAGAUUUUACUUUAACCUCUCCUUUCUCUUACUCACUCAAAUCCAACGGAUCAGAUUCUAGGGACCAAACCUCAUCACUCAACCGUCACUCAUCCCAUCCAGCGCAUGCGUGAAUCGUGACACGCGACUCUGCUCUUCCCGACAUCGACUCUCCAUCUCCUCAAGGCCAAUCUCUCCCUCGCCAUCACGUCGCCAUCACGCUUGUUCGUGACGCAGGCUAGUCGACGCGUCGUUGCCGCUUCGCCUCCGUAGCUAGGAAGCCGCUCUGCCUCCGCCGCCUCCUCCGCUCGGACGCUGCUCUGCCUUUGAGACACAGCUCUCCUACGCCGCUCUACCUCCAUUGUCUCCUCCACUCGAACGCCGCUUUGACUCCGGGACGCCGCUGCCUCUUUCCUAGAGCACGGGACGCAAGGUAGGAGAGGCAUAGCGGAGGAGGCGGAUUCACGCACGCUGUCACUCGGCGGCUCGACGGGAGGUGUAGGGCGGUGGGAUGGAUGCCGCUGCCCCUAGAUCCACGAGCUGCGGUGAAGCGCCCCUGGUAAAUCAGGAACUCAAAUGUGAUACAAUACUAGUCCCAGGAGGCUAGUAACACAUUUAUUACAUCAGAUAAGUUUCAGCGCAGUAGUCUUGGAAAGCGUGGACAAGGAAGGCACGCGAUAAUAAUAAGACACCAAAAUACAACAUAUGUCCAAAGGACCCAGAAACAAACGAUAUCGCCAUCGAACAUCUGACGAGUCCCAAUGCCACAGGCUUAGUUGGGUGCAGACACGACCUUACUCGAACGCCACUUCAGGAUCGAAGUCCGGAUCUUCCUCUGUUUAAUAAAGCAAGGGUGAGUACAAAGUACUCAGCAAAUCCAACCUUACCCUACGGAAGGGGAUAACAAUAUAUAUGCAUAUGGAUAAAUCAAGGAUGAGGCUUAGUUUUAUUUGCAUAAAGCUAUCUUUUUACACAUGCAAGGUUUCAUUUCACAAAUACUGUUGUAAAAGACCUCUUUUUCCACAUAUGAUAGUAUUUCUGAAAAUGGGGGUUUUAUCACAAUUUUAAGUGUUGUUGAACGUUUAUUCCCACAACACAAUGGCAGUGAACCAUUUAUUUCCAAAAUCACACUCACUCUCAUGUUUUCACUCAUCCCAACCCAUCUAGUUGUUGAAACCAAACCAUAACCCGUUCGAGACCGCGGACACGGCUAUCCAGAUAGAUUUACACUCUGCAGAGGUUGUACACUUUUCCCACAAGUAGGAUACCAUAACUUACACCGUCGUGCAAGCACAGAUCCAUCAAAGUCAUUACCCUCCAUAGCUAAGUAAUGGCGCUCACCACGGAAACACUAAGACCACAUCUCAUGAUUCCACAAUAAUUCACAAAGCUAUUUUUAUAUAUUUCCACAAUUUCACAUACAUCACUUAGUGUCCCGUUGCACACCUGCCUCCAGGUGAUUGCCAUACUAACUAGAGGGAUUUAGACUAAGCCUUUCCCAUGCAAGGCGAGUGGUUGUACGAUAAAUGAGUUAGGCAAGAUGAAUCAUCAACUCAGUCCUUAAUCGAGACAAGGCGGAUAUCUUCACGCUUAACCCCGCAAGGUAUAAGCCACAACACCAGGGCAUCCCAAAAGAGAUCCCAUCCGCUCCAUCUCCAUAGUAAUCACAUCUAUAACUUGUUCAUUAACCCUUUCAUAAUACCCACAAUUUAUUUUCACCACUCACACCUUUUACUCUUAAAAUCAUUAUAUUUGAAAAAUAUAGCGAUGAGUAUCCAGGAUGAGUAACAAGUCCUAAGCAUACUAAAUAAUAAUAUUUCUGUCAUAGCAUAUUAUUUGUUCCUAGGUUUGAACAAGACAAUUACCGGGUAAUAUCAAUUCAAGGAUGGCUAUUCAAUAGGUUUUAACUAAGCAGCAAAAAUACUUCGUACAUAUAUCGUACAUGCAAUAUUUAAAACGGCUUCUACGGGUUAUGUUUAAAAAUAGGAUCAAUAUGCAUCAAAGGGGAUCGGUUGGACUUGCCUCCGUCGGCGUCCUCGGCAAACUCCUGCUGACAGUCCGGGUCCUCGGCGUCAAACUCGCGGUACUCGUUUCCAAUGUUCUCGUUUUCCGGCUCGUUCACUCCGUCAGCUAAAAUACGCGACGAACGACACAGACAACAGGCACAAAUAAAUAAUCAUAUAAAUUCAAAUGAGCUCCAAAAAUCAUGAAAUUAAUAUGGGAGGUAGAUCAUGAUUUUAGAUGAAUUUAGGAAAAAGAAUUAUUAAAAUCAGAGUUAGCAUGUGGUAUUUGUAAAAUGGCCGGACUUUAAUCAUGCGAAAAAGGCUAACGAUGAUUAAAAAAUACAUGCUUCACGAGAUGAAUUUUGGCUGGUAGUGCAUGUUGCAUGCAUGCAUGUACUAUUUGGAGUUAAUGCUUAUGGCCCACACAAGCAUGGUUAGAGAGAAAUUAGCAGGGGUCAUUAGAGCUCUUCUGUAUGUCAUGGUUCUAUUCGUAGAGUUCUUGGCAGUGAAUCGGUACAGACAAAUACAAGGAAAAAUACAGGAAAAUACUACAGAAAGACAGAGAAGAGCAAGGAGAUGCUCAUGAGCUGCUCACCUCGUCUUGCGACGACAGUCGAGCUCGGCUUGUGCGUAUGGCCGUAUACGGUAUACGCGAAGUGAGAGCGAGUGAGCGAGUGAGUGAACGUGUUUCUCGGGUGGUGAGAGUGAGCACCCGAGGCUGGCUUUUUAUAGGCCAAAGCGCUCAGCUGCGUGCCAUUAAAAAUGCUACUGUAGCGCAUAGUCGGUGCCUAAUUUGCAUGCACGAUGCAUGCAAAUUGACGGUGCCUAAUCACCGUGUCCUUGCAUGCAAGUGCAUGCAAAUGGACGGUGCGUGAUGUCCUGCAUUCAUGCAUGCAUGCAUGAGAUAUAUUCGUGUGUGUGCACUGUUAUGUUUUCUUGCAUGUAAGCUUGUUGGUACUCGUUGUUAUUUGUGCGCGAAAAAUAAAAAAAUAUGGAUGGAUUAGAUGGAGAUACUAUAGAGCUCAAAUUAUUUUAUAGUUUUUGAAAUAUAUUUUGAAAAUAUUUUUUUAAUGCGAGUGAUUUUUGAAUAUGAAUUUUUGGAUGUUACAAACCUACCCCACUUAAAAGGAAUCUCGUCCUCGAGAUUCGGCUGGGUCCUAAAUAGAUGGGGAAACUCUUUUCUCCGGGCAUCUUCUCUUUCCCAUGUUGCUUCUGCUUUAGUGUGUCUACUCCACUGAACACGAAAAAUUCGGACUGUUGUCGUUCGAGUUUGCUUGCUGACUGUAUCUAGGAUUUUUAUUGGCACUUCUUGAUAUCUUAGGUCGUCUUGUAAAUCAACUGUGUCUGGCGAUAUUUGUUCCUCUGGUACUCUGAGACAUUUCUUCAAUUGGGAGACAUGAAACACAUUGUGUAUAUCUGACAUUUCUGCAGGUAGCCGAACACGAUAGGCUACAGCUCCAAUCCUCUGUAAUACUUUAUAUGGUCCAAUAUACCGAGGUGCUAGCUUACCUCUGACUUGGAACCUUCGAGUUCCUCGAAUAGGAGAGACUUUGAUAUACACAAAAUCUCCAAUUGCAAAACUUAACUCUCGCCUUCUUUUAUCAGAAUACUUCUUUUGACGUGAUUGUGCCUCUUUCAAUUUUUCUCUGAUUUCAGCUACACAAUCUUCUGCUUCUUUUAUAAGGGCUGGUCCAAGCAAGGUUCGUUCUCCAACUUCUGACCACAUCAAUGGGGUUCUACAUUUUCUUCCAUACAGGGCCUCAAAAGGUGACAUGCCCAAACUAGCUUGGUAACUGUUAUUAUAGGAGAACUCUGCAUAAGUUAGGCUUUUCUCCCAAUCUUUACCAUACGUGAGCACACAUGCUCUUAGCAUAUCUUCCAUAAUCUGAUUUAUUCUUUCAGUCUGACCAUCUGUUUGAGGAUGAUAAGCUGAGCUAAAAUCUAGCUUGGUUCCCAUAGCUUCAUGCAAACUUUUCCAGAACUUAGAGGUAAAUUGGGUACCUCGGUCAGAUACAAUCCUACUUGGCACACCAUGCAAUUUGACUAUGUUAUCCACAUAUAGCUGGGCUAACUUGUCUCCACUAUAUUUGGUGCGUACAGGUAUGAAGUGAGCAACCUUGGUAAGGCGGUCCACUAUUACCCAUAUUGAAUCAUUUCCUUUCAGAGUUUUGGGUAAUCCAUUCACAAAAUCCAUGCCUAUCUCAUCCCAUUUCCAAACAGGAAUAGGCAAUGGCUGGAGCAAGCCUGCUGGUUUUUGAUGCUCCGCUUUAACCCUUUGGCAAACAUCACAUUGUGCAACAAAUCGUGCCACAUCAGCUUUCAUGCUAUUCCACCAAUAUCUUUCUUUUAGGUCCAUAUACAUCUUGGUGGCACCAUGGUGGAUAGAAUAAGCUGAGUUAUGAGCUUCAUUAAGGAUUAAUUCUUGAAACUUUCCCUCUUUGGGCACACAAAUCCUAUUUUUAUACCACAAUACUCCUUUGUUAUCCACUCUAAAGUAUGGAGCUUUAUUUUCUCCAGUUUGCUUACGAAUCUUCAUCAGAUCCUUAUCCUUAUGUUGUGUCUGUUUGAUUUCUUCCACAAGAGUUGGCUACACCAUCAGACUGCCAUUUUGAGGUUGGCGUACUAUAUGCAUGUUCAACUGUGCUAUCUCUUCUUGUAGGUGAGUGUUCUUAGGCACCAACUGCUGACCAUAUGGCCUUCUGCUUAGGGCAUCUGCUACCACGUUGGCCUUUCCUGGGUGGUAAUGAAUCUCAAGGUUAUAGUCCUUGAUUAAUUCUAAUCAUCUUCUUUGCCUUAGGUUCAAGUCUGACUGUGUGAAGAUGUACUUCAAACUCUUGUGAUCAGUGUAGAUUUCACACUUGUUUCCAAUGAGGUAGUGUCUCCAAAUCUUGAGAGCAUGUACUAUAGCUGCUAACUCCAAAUCAUGGGUAGGGUAAUUUUUCUCAUGAGGUCUAAGCUGACGAGAUGCAUAAGCAACCACUUUUUCUCCUUGCAUGAGAACACAUCCUAAACCUUGUCUUGAGGCAUCACAGUAUAUGAUGAAAUCUUGGUGAAUGUCCGGCAAGGUUAACACUGGUGCUGUUGUCAGUCUCUUCUUCAACUCUUGGAAACUCUUCUCACAUGAUUCUGUCCAAGUGAAUUUCUUACCCUUCCUAAGAAGCUCUGUCAUGGGUCUGGCUAUCUUGGAAAAUCCUUCUAUAAACCUUCGAUAAUAUCCAGCUAAUCCAAGAAAACUUCUAACCUCACUCACAUUGGUGGGUUGCUGCCAAUGGGAGACAGCUUCUACUUUCUCAGGGUCAACUGCAACUCCUUCAGCUGUCAAGAUGUGGCCUAGAAAUGCAACCUUCUCAAGCCAAAAUUCACACUUGCUGAAUUUAGCAUACAACUUGUGUCUUCUUAGCUUUUCCAACACUACUCUCAAGUGUUGCCCAUGUUCUUCAGCACUCUUAGAGUAGAUAAGUAUGUCAUCAAUGAAGACUACAACAAACUUAUCUAACUCUUCCAUGAAUACCUUAUUCAUGAGGUUCAUGAAAUAGGCAGGGGCAUUGGUUAACCCAAAAGACAUCACUGUAAACUCAUAUUGUCCAUAUCUGGUUACAAAGGCUGUCUUGGGGACAUCACUAUUCUUGAUCUUGAGUUGGUGAUAACCUGAUCUCAAAUCAAUCUUAGAGAAAUACUUGGCUCCUUUAAGCUGAUCAAAAAGGUCAUCUAUCCUUGGUAGGGGAUACUUAUUCUUGAUGGUGACUUCAUUUAGGGACCUAUAAUCCACACACAUCCUCAUACUUCCAUCCUUCUUCUUCACAAACAAGACUGGGGCUCCCCAUGGUGAAGAACUUGGUCUAAUAUAACCUUUCUGCUGCAAUUCUCUUAGCUGCUCUUUUAGUUCAGCUAACUCUGCCGGAGCCAUUCUGUAAGGUCUCUUGGCUAUGGGGGCAGUCCUAGGGAUAAGAUCAAUGAUGAACUCUAUAUCCCUGUCUGGUGGCAUUCAAGGUAGUUCCUCAGGGAAUACAUCAGGGUAUUCUUGCACUAUUGGUACUUCCUCUAUGGUCCUUGCAUACAAGUUGAAGACCAUUGGAUUAACUUUAGAUCCUCGGGUUUGGCAUUUCACUUUAAUCCCUUCAUGGUUAACUAAUGAUACUUCCUUGGUUGCACAACUAAUAAUUCCAUUGUGUCUGGUUAACCAAUCCAUUCUGAGGAUAACAUCUAUUCCUUUGGACUUGAGCACUACUAAGUCUGCUAAGAAAACUACCCCACUUAGAAUGAUCCUUACAUUUGAACAACCUAGAUGACAUUUGAUGUCAGACCCAGGCGUUCGGGUUAUUGGGGGUAACUUUAGUAGUACUGUGGGUAUUUGAUGCUUCUCAACAAAGCUUGAUGAUAUGAAUGAAUGUGAUGCUCCAGAAUCAAAUAAUACUGUUGCAAGUACUGAAUCGACUAAGAACUCACCAAGUACCACUCCUGAAGCAGUCUGAGCAUCCUGAGCAUGAAUAUGGUUGACACGGGAUCUACCUUAGGAUUGUUGAGGUUGCUUCAUCAUCUGGCUAUUAUUGUUGGUGUUGCUAUUGUUGCGAGGGAAACCACGGUUGACUCCAGAAACUGCAGGUCUUGGUCCAUUAACAAUAUGGGACUGAGUGGAUACUGCUGGUGGGUUGUUCUUGUAGGGACAGUUGGCAAUGUAGUGUCCAGUCUCAUGGCAAUUAAAGCAAGUCCUAACAUUGUUUGUGACUUGACCAGUGUUGUUCUGUUGAGUCUUGCCAUAAGUUUGAUUCUGAUAGGUUGUCUUAGGCUGAUAUGAUGACUGCAUUUGGUUAUUGGAGACACUAGCAGGAGAGCGAAACUGCAUUGGGGCUUGAGUCCGCUGGCUUGGUUGGCUAAAGGUUUUCAGCCUCUGGGAUCUAGCACCAUCUUGAACCUUGCGCUCUAGAAACUUGCGCUUGUUUUCUUUCCUUUCUUCGGUCUUGGCCACAUCAGUCAGAAUGGUCCUGUUCAUCAAGGUGUUGAAGUCUAGAUAGAUCUGUGGGGUCAUGAGGGUUCUGAGCUCACAGGUCAAUCCUUCUAUGAACUUUGUCUGCUUCUUGGCAUCGGUGUUGACCAAUUCUGGGGCAUAGCGAGACAAUUCAGUGAAUUGGGAAGAUGUACUACUUAGAGUUUUAUUUCCUUGCUUCAAGUUGCGAAAUUCAUCAGCUUUCAGCUUCAUGAUUCCAUCUGGAAUGUGGUACCGACGGAAUUCGUCCACAAAUUCUUCCCAUGUGAUAGUGUUUGCAUUGUCUAUAGCUCCACUAUAGGCUUCCCACCAAGAAAAGGCAAUUCCUGUCAGCUGAUGAGAUGCUAGAAGAACUCUAUCCCUUCCAUCGCAGUGGAUUGUGUCCAACUUCCUUUCAAUCACCUUAAGCCAAUCAUCUGCUUCCAUGGGGUUGUCAGAUCCAGUAAAGGUGGGUGGCUUAAGCCUCAUGAAUUCAGUCAUCUUGUCUUGGACUCCGGCUCCACGGUUGUUCCUAGGACGGUUCAUGCCUUGAGCCAAGGUCUCCAGAAGGCGAGUCUGAGUUGCCAUGACUUGUGCUAAGUCAAUUACUGGAGGAGGGGGCAAGUCAUCUCCUUCAUUAUGGUUCCUAGUCUAACUCACUUCAUCUUCAUGAAUACCAUCAACAUUUGCAUUGGCUUGACUUCCAUUUGGAUUUUGGCUUUGUCUACUAGCUGCACGACCACUUGGUUGAGAGCGGGUAGCUGGUUUGGGAGGCAUUUGUUGGUUAAGAUGAGAAAGCAUUAGAUAAGAGUUAGAUCUAUUGAGUGAUGUUGUUUUUUUGUUAAGGCGUUAUAUUUUAAAAAGAUGCAAGUUUUAAGACUUGCUAUCCCGUAAGGGAACAACAUAGAGCACUCAAUUAUUUAGCACAACCAACAAGCACAAAUAUAUAUUUUGAAUAAGAGGACGGUUUACAACAUAGUAAUGGACGAAAUAAGCGUACUACAAUACGGUUCAUCUACUUUGGGGGUUGAACAAAAGUGAAGUAAACUUCACUUCCCCAAGACAUAAGGAGGAACUAGGUGCUACUAUUCUUCAACUUCUUCGGACAGAACAGCUUCUUCCUUUGGUGUUGAGGAGGAUCACGCUUCCGGCAUUUGUGGUUCUUCUUUUGGACUAAGAGGUGGGUCACUGUCUUCUUUUGGUGCUAGCUGGGUGAGGAGGGGAAAUCCUUCUUCCUUAGUGGACUCCAACUCUAAAGCUUCAUGAGAGGCUUCUGUGGGUGGGGGAGCUGAUGGCCCUUCUAUGUCCAUCUUUCUUUUGGUUUUUAGGGACAUGAUUGGGAUACCUUUUAGGACUAUGGGCUCUUGGUCUUCCUCUGCUAACAUCCUUAUUUUGAUCCUGGUGAUAAGGUAGGCAUCCUUCAAGUCCUGAGCAUGGCGGUCUUCAGCUGCCUUCAAGACUUCAGCAAUGGCAGUUUCACGACUCUCGGCUGCAGCUGCUUGGGCCCGAGCUUCCGCAAGCUGCACAUGGAGCUUUCUAACUAUGAUCUCGCCUUCCUCCGCACGAUGGAUGCACUUCCUUAACUCUGAGGCCUGCUCAUCGUAUUGCUUAUCUAGGGCAAGUAGGUAUGUGGUCAUGAAUACCACAGUUGGGUCAUCUUCAAGUGAGUAACGUCCUUGCAAGAGCUCUAUGCGGGUCCUCCAAACUGGUCGGUCUUUUUCGUCGGGUGGAAAGAACCUCAUGGGUGUACGUGUGAUGGGCUUCUCGUAGAUUUGGCAUAGGUACCCCAAGGCUUUGCGGGCGACGGCUUGAUAUGUAUCUGCAAACCGAAAUCCGGUCGCAGUCAUACUCCAAGCUUCGGCUAUGUUAGGGAAGUCCUCACUUUUCCCAAUAUAGAUGGUAACUUCACACCGCUCGGUCUCAUGUUCUUCAUAUUCUCUGCCUUCAUAUUCUGGGCGAUCCUUGAUUCCAAAUUUCUGCAUGGUAGCAUACAAGAGCUUGGGAAAGCCUUCUACACUUAGACAGUAACUGCUGGUCCAAACUCCUUCUGCCAUCUGAGAGACAUAGAUGAGAGUAAAUAUUUUUUUCAAAUAGAGGGAAGAGGGUAAGAACUUUUGUAAAAUACGUUUAUUUAGUAAAAUACUGGUCCAGAAAACCCUAAGGUCGCGUCCUACAGCCAACUACGGCUCUGAUACCACCUGAAGCGCCCCUGGUAAAUCAGGAACUCAAAUGUGAUACAAUACUAGUCCCAGGAGGCUAGUAACACAUUUAUUACAUCAGAUAAGUUUCAGCGCAGUAGUCUUGGAAAGCAUGGAGAAGGAAGGCACGCGAUAAUAAUAAGACACCAAAAUACAACAUAGGUCCAAAGGACCCAGAAACAAACGAUAUCGCCAUCGAACAUCUGACGAGUCCCAAUGCCACAUGCUUAGUUGGGUGCAGACACGACCUUACUCGAACGCCACUUCAGGAUCGAAGUCCGGAUCUUCCUCUGUUUAAUAAAGUAAAGGUGAGUACAAAGUACUCAGCAAAUCCAACCUUACCCUACGGAAGGGGAUAACAAUAUAUAUGCAUAUGGAUAAAUCAAGGAUGAGGCUUAGUUUUAUUUGCAUAAAGCUAUCUUUUUACACAUGCAAGGUUUCAUUUCACAAAUACUGUUGUAAAAGACCUCUUUUUCCACAUAUGAUAGUAUUUCUGAAAAUGGGGGUUUGAUCACAAUUUUAAGUGUUGUUGAACCUUUGUUCCCACAACACAAUGGCAGUCAACCAUUUAUUUCCAAAAUCACACUCACUCUCAUGUUUUCACUCAUCCCAACCCAUCUAGUUGUUGAAACCAAACCAUAACCCGUCCGAGACCGCGGACACGGCUAUCCAGAUAGAUUUGCACUCUGCAGAGGUUGUACACUUUUCCCACAAGUAGGAUACCAUAACUUACACCGUCGUGCAAGCACAGAUCCAUCAAAGUCAUUACCCUCCAUAGCUAAGUAAUGGCGCUCACCACGGAAACACUAAGGCCACAUCUCAUGAUACCACAAUAAUUCACAAAGCUAUUUUCAUAUAUUUCCACAAUUUCACAUACAUCACUUAGUGUCCCGUUGCACACCUGCCUCCAGGUGAUUGCCAUACUAACUAGAGGGAUUUAGACUAAGCCUUUCUCAUGCAAGGCGAGUGGUUGUACGAUAAAUGAGUUAGGCAAGAUGAAUCAUCAACUCAGUCCUUAAUCGAGACAAGGCGGAUAUCUUCACGCUUAACCCCGCAAGGUAUAAGCCACAACACCAGGGCAUCCCCAUAAGAGAUCCCAUCCGCCCCAUCUCUAUAGUAAUCACAUCUAUAACUUGUUCAUUAACCCUUUCAUAAUACCCACAAUUUAUUUUCACCACUCACACCUUUUACUCUUAAAAUCAUUAUAUUUGAAAAAUAUAGCGAUGAGUAUCCAGGAUAAGUAACAAGUCCUAAGCAUACUAAAUAAUAAUAUUUCUGUCAUAGCAUAUUAUUUGUUCCUAGGUUUGAACAAGACAAUUACCGCGUAAUAUCAAUUCAAGGAUGGCUAUUCAACAGGUUUUAACUAAGCAGCGAAAAUACUUCGUACAUAUAUCGUACAUGCAAUAUUUAAAACGGCUUCUACGGGUUGUAUUUAAAAAUAGGAUCAAUAUGCAUCAAAGGGGAUCGGUUGGACUUGCCUCCGUCCUCGGCAAACUCCUGCUGACAGUCCGGGUCCUCGGCGUCAAACUCGCGGUACUCGUUUCCAACGUUCUCGUUUUCCGGCUCGUUCACUCCGUCAGCUAAAAUACACGACGAACGAUACAGAUAACAGGCACAGAUAAAUAAUCAUAUAAAUUCAAAUGAGCUCCAAAAAUCAUGAAAUUAAUAUGGAAGGUAGAUCAUGAUUUUAGAUGAAUUUAGGAAAAAAAUUAUUAAAAUCAGAGUUAGCAUGUGGUAUUUGUAAAAUGACCGGACUUUAAUCAUGCGAAAAAGGCUAACGAUGAUUAAGAAAUACAUGCUUCACGAGAUGAAUUUUGGCGGUAGUGCAUGUUGCAUGCAUGCAUGUACUAUUUAGAGUUAAUGCUUAUGGCCCACACAUGCAUGGUUAGAGAGAAAUUAGCAGGGGUCAUUAGAACUCUUCUGUAUGUCAUGGUUCUAUUCGUGGAGUUCUUGGCAGUGAAUCGGUACAGACAAAUACAACGAAAAAUACAGAAAAAUACUACAGAAAGACAGAGAAGAGCAAGGAGAUGCUCAUGAGCUGCUCACCUCGUCUUGCGACGACAGUCGAGCUCGGCUUGUGCGUAUGGCCGUAUACGGUAUACGCGAAGUGAGAGCGAGUGAGCGAGUGAGUGAACGUGUUUCUCGGGUGGUGAGAGUGAGCACCCGAGGCUGGCUUUUUAUAGGCCAAAGCGCUCAGCUGCGUGCCAUUAAAAAUGCUACUGUAGCGCAUGGUCGGUGCCUAAUUUGCAUGCACGACGCAUGCAAAUGGACGGUGCCUAAUCACCGUGUCCUUGCAUGCAAGUGCAUGCAAAUGGACGGUGCGUGAUGUCCUGCAUUCAUGCAUGCAUGCAUGAGAUAUAUUCGUGUGUGUGCACUGCUAUGUUUUCUUGCAUGUAAGCUUGCUGGUACUCGUUGUUAUUUGUGCGCGAAAAAUAAAAAAAAUAUGGAUGGAUUAGAUAGAGAUACUAUAGAGCUCAAAUUAUUUUAUAGUUUUUAAAAUAUAUUUUGAAAAUAUUUUUUUAAUGCGAGUGAUUUUUGAAUAUGAAUUUUUGGAAUGUUACAUGCGGCUCCUCCUCCCUUCUUACGAGCGUAGGCGGCGUCGGAUAGGCGGAUUCACGCGCGCCGUCGCUCGGCAGCUCGAUGGGAGGUGCAGGGCGGUGGGACGAACGCCGCUAUUUAGGGACGGUGGCUCGAACAACUCUUGGAUCAACGAACAGUGGCGUUCGUCCCACCGCCCCGCACCUCCCGUCCAGCCGCCGAGCGACAGCGCGCGUGAAUCUGCCUCCUGUGCUAUGCCUCUCCCACCUUGCGUCCCGUGCUCUAGGAAAGAGGCAGCAGCGUCCCGUAGUCAAAGCGGCGUUCGAGUGGAGGAGACAAUGGAGGCAGAGCGGCGUAGGAGAGCUGCGUCUCAAAGUUGGAGCAGCGUCCAAGCGGAGGAGGCAGCGGAGGCAGAGCGGCUUCCCAGCUACGGAGGCGAAGCGGCAACGACGGUGUCGGCUAGCCUGUGUCACGAACAAGCGUUGCUCAGGUGCCCUGCCUCGGUGAGCUCCUCCCUCUGCUGCCUCUGUUUUUUACUGUCCGGAUCUGCCAACCUAUGCUCCUGUGCUGUGCUAGAGAUUGGCAUGAGAAAUUUGCUGAUUUGGGAUUGGUAAGAGGCGAAAAUGAGAUUGGGAUUGUGUUUAUGGUUCACAUCGCCCGAUAAUGUUGCUCACCUAGCAUCCCGUAGGAUCCCCUUCCUUGUCGGAGGUCGCAACGCGGCACCAUCCCAAGGCUAGUUAUCCUGUCUAGCAAGGCGGCAUCCCUUCGCUACACCUGUCUAGCAAGGCGGCAUCCCUUCGCUAUGCCAUGGCCCUUCAAUAAUCCAGCCGUUCAUUGUCUUCUGGUUGUGGAGAAGGCAAGUUGGCGCAUGAGGUUUGGCGAGGCACCAGUAGACCCAGUGACACUGAAUCCAAGGCCUCGGCCACCUUCAGAUAGAGGUCCGCAACUGUUGAUAUUUGGUAACGCAAUUAGAAAAUGAUCCGCAAGCGCACGGAUAUCGGUGAGCAUUUCACCCGGGAGGUUUUCCAGAGUAUCGUAUUUAUAUUUUUACCACUGGGAGAAAGGGUGCAUCUGACUAACCAAAUCUAUUGCUACUACCCCUUUAGGCUACAAAGAAUGUCUCUCGAUGUGAGUGAUGUAUAGAGAAGACUGCAACCGUAGUCUCGUUCUAACCUUGGUAAGGAUGAUCUACUGUUCUAUUGGGGAGGCUCACGGAAUCUAGACAACACAAAGGAUGUUUGACCCGCACCUUUAACCCUACCCGUCCUGCUAACGAGAUGUGAUCUACAAAGGUAACUCGGAAAUGUCACGUUCCUCGCUACUACCACGGUCCAGCUAGUCAGGGGAUAUCUAUGAGUACCCUAGCCUAAACACCACGUUUACGCUAACAAGUGAUUACUCUAAUACUCAACCGGAAGAGGAUUAAAGUAAACUCAUAAACCAAAGAACAAUAAAACAAGAACUUACUAGUAUUAGAAGUCGAAUUACUGAAGAAUCUUAGAAGCAAGCCUCGGGUUAGGAGACUUGAUCCUGUAGGUACAACUCGGAGUAGACACCGACAGGCCGGCCUUCUUCCGAUCCACACCUCCACUCUAUCUCUCUCAAUCUAGUAGAAACUAGAAGAUCUAUUUCUACCUUACAUUGGUUGCUAAGCCUAAAAAGAAAUAUUAUUUAGAGAAGAGGUUUUCCUUCGAGGGCACCCCUCAAUCUCUAUGAUAAUUUCUUGUCUUCUCCAGGGCCAGGGGGGCCUUGCUUAUAUAGUCCUCCCCUUCUAUGCGUUUUUGGGUCGAUAGGUGAGGUGGUACUAUGUUUUCCUUGAUCCAAUAGGUCGGUGGAACAUCCCGAGCGAAAGAGUCCUGAUUUGGCUCCAACAGGGGGGCGGGCGCCCAGGCUACCAGGGCGGGCGCCCUGGGCCUGGCCCAGUUUCGCCUCCGCUUCGGUCUCGUGGCUUCUGGAGUCUUCUAGAUGGUAGAAAAUUGCGCGGUGGGUUGAUAUCUCUAUGUAAUCCCGACAUGUGGGCCUUUCUUUCUUAUUUCCUGAUAACCCCCUGCAGAAAUAGACAAACACCAAAACUCGUAGAAUUCUGUCAGAUAAAACCCUAAGUCUAGAUGUUGAUUUCAUUUGGAUCCUUUUCUUUGUUUAUUUGAUAAUUAAAUUUGAUACUUAAGGACCGUCAACAAACUCCCCCAAGCUUACCUCUUGCUCGUCCCUGAGCAAGGAUAGACUCAGCUAUGGAUCAUAAAUUGUUGCAAUAUUUUUUUAAAAAAAUUGAUGUACACAUGCUUUUUUAAAUAAGAUCUCAUCUCUGAGUUAGAGUAAACUGUCAAGACUUAAAACUUACUUACUUUACCUUCACCAUGGGACUUGUAACUGUCACUUCUGUCUUGAGUGGUUAAAAGAUAGAACAGUCUGGCCAAGUGCCAUGUCUCUUAUUCUUGAUCAGCUAUAGCUCUGGGGUUUUUUUGCAGAUUUUCAAAUAAAACUCAGAAAUUCCUUGUAUGAUUCUCUCAGGUCUCUCUUUUGUGGUAUUUUUGGAUCCUUACCAAGGCAGUGAUGGUAUAUGCCUUCUCUCAAGAUAUGUAGUAUUUGUGGUAUGAAGCAUAGUGACAUUGUCUUCUCUCUCACCCUACUCUAAUAAGGCUUUAAUAUCUGGAGCUCAUAGGUGGGACAUAAAGUAUACAUACUUAUAAGACAUUUAUUGCAUAGUCAAACCAUGGAUCCAGAGAAACAAGUCAAUAAGUCAAAUCAAGAUGUGCAUGUGUGGCGAAUGUAUGGUGUAUGGUGAUGAUGGUGAUAACAAUGGUGAAAGUCUAAUUCUACUUUUGCUCUUUUAAGGGGAUACAUACCUUUCUUGCACUUAGAAGCUUUUUGGGGAGAAUGAGAUGCUCUAUAUUUUCUUUUUCUUACCUCUCAGGUGGGUAUCUUGUACCCCUAAUUCUACUGUCGGACACUUGUCCAUUUUUACCUCUCGUCUCACUUUUUUCUUUUUCUUUCGAGGUUCCGAGCACUUGCUCCUUUUUAUUUCCUCGUAUAUUUUUUCUUUUUUUUUAAGAGCACUCAUCUCUUGAGAUAAUAUAGCAAGUGGUAGUAACAAGAUAACUUGAGCAUUUAUUUCACAAGAGAAAGACAGAAAUAUUUUUGGUUAUUCUCUCCCGGAUUAGGAGUAGAAUAUUUUUGAGUGGUUCUGGAGAUAGAAAUGGAUGGAUAUAUGUGGAUGGUACUUCCGGAAUAGAAGUAGCAUAUAUGAGUGGAUGUGCAAGUGAAAUCUUGAUUUAACCACAUGACAAGCUCCUAAGGGUCUACACAGCUUGACCACACUCAAUGCUCAUAAGCAGUAAAUAGUAAAUGUGUGGCUCAAGGUCUAGCAAGCAUGUAUAUGUGGAUGUGGUAGGAAUUUAAACUCUCAUCAUACAGGAACUCAUCAUGCAACAUUUUAAAGAUUUUAAAGGUAAAAUUCUCCAGAAUUCUAGCAUCUCUAAGAACAGAUAAACAGCAGCUCAACCUUCCCAUAUCGUAUCCGUUAACAACUUAGACUUCAGAUCAAGUUUUCAUCCCACAAGUUUAGGUCUAGAGCAAGCCUUAAAUUAUAAUAGUUAUAUCUAAACUUGAGAGAGAACUUUAAAUUUGCAAAUUAGGCAGAGCAACUAUUCAUCAUAUCCAUGCUUAACUUUUAUUAGAUACAGAUUAGCAUAGCCACUUUAUUUAUUUAUUAAACAUACUAAGCAAAAUAUAUAUAAGCAUAAAAUUUUUAUUUGGUUUUUCAUAGUUAUGUGUACUUAUAUUCUAAUAUAGUAUAAGUAUAAAGAUAGAUAGAAAUACUUAUCGAGAUAAAUGGGGGUGCUCUCCCCCAAGCUGAAUUUUGACGUAAUUUCUCUUGAUGUAGCUAGCAGGUGGCAGAGGUGUGUUUGAAAGUCAGCAGUAUUUUGACAGCGAUUAGAAUGUCCUUCGUCUGCUAGUCUUCUUGAUUCUUAAAUUCUGUGGAGCUCAAAUAGACAACAAAGCUUGUGGAACUGAUUAAGUGUUAGCAUAAAUAUCUAGCCUUUAUCAUGUUGAGACUCCUUAAUAAAUAUUACUCCCUGUUUUUAUAUUUUUGUUUUUAUAAAGCAGAAAAAUAUUUAUUUUAUUUUUAUGCCACCACAGUGAAUGUACUUAUGGGUUUUAUGUCACUCGUCUACUCACAGGGGGCUUACAGUUUUUUUUUCGCAUUUUUAUUUUCUUUCUAGGAUAAUACGAACAUGAUUAACUAAGUAAACUAUUUGAAAUAAUUAAAAGAGAAAGGAUAACUACCAAGUUUACCUCUUGGCAAGGCGUUCGGUAUUUUUAAGUCCUCUGAACGGGACUCUCCGUUUUCUUAGUCGUCCUCGGAUUCGCUAGGUGGCGUAGUCGGUGAUUCCGGCGGCGCCUCUUCGUCGUGUAUAACUAUCUUCUCUCUCCACACCUAACUCGGUGCUACGGUCUCCUCAGGACAGUUCUGUUCAAGUUGUAUGUCUUCAGUCCUUAUCACUUUUCCUUCGUAGUCUACCCAUCCGUCCUUGAUGAUUUGCCUCCUCUGGUUGCGGUUGCGUUGUCUUCUUCUUGUCCUGACCUGUUUAGAAUCUUCAACUAUAUAAUCAUUAAAGUAGUGGCGUACCUUUCUCAGAGGGGAAGUGCAUGUGGACUUCUCCGGUUCCAAUAUAGAUAAUGGCUUUGAUAGUGUUGAGGAACGGUCUUCCAAGGAUGGUGGGUGGAUCAUACUUGUCUUCUCCCAUGUCAAUGACCUGAAAAUUGUUUGAAGCUGAAUGUAUCUUGGUUGUAGGGGCAUGGUUCCAUGCAGGAGCUGAUAAGUGACUGCGGCCAUUAUGUUGUCGUCAAAUCCGGUGUCGUAGAGUGUCUUCUGAAAAGAGUAUCUCCUUGAGCUGCAGUGACCAUCUUAGCUGACUCGGUCCACAUUUGUUUGUUCCUUUUCCUCCUGUUGGUCCUCUUGCUUGGUUCAUGUCGGGAUUGCUCUGAAGCUUGUGUAGUCUUGUUCUUGAAGGAAACUCUCCUUCUUCCCCUUGAUAUAGAGACUGAUCUUGGCAGCAUUAGCGUAGAUGACUGCUCUGGUGUUUAGGAAUGGCCUCCCUAAGAUGAUGGGUGCCCUCUUCUCAGUACCAGUCUCUAUCACCACGAAGUUUGCUGGAGCGUACAAGGUACCAACUCGGACACAGAGGUUCUUCAAUAUUUCCUUUAGGAAACUAAGUGUCUAAUCUCCAUUGUGUUUGUGCUCGUAGAUCCCGGUUCUUCACUUAGUGGAAUUUGGGAGUUGUAAAACUCCUCCAUGUUUUGUUUGAAGUGUACCUAUUCAUGGAGACAAGGCAGAGAUCAAGUGCAUGGGCCCUGUUGGUGGAAAACACCAACAGAACCAAAAGUGUAUUUGUUGUUCUCUAACCUUAAGCAUAGUGAGCAAGACAAAGUUGAUGGAUAAUAAGAUCAUGAGUGUAGUAUUUAAAACAUUUGUCAGUUCAGAUUGAUCGACCUAAUGUAAAGAUAAUCUAUCUAUGUAUAUGUCUUUUUUCUUUAUAUCUUCCCAAAGAUUGAAUGUGCAACAUUUUAGCUUAUAUGAUUGGGAGUGUGAGAUCACGAAGGUAUCACUAAGAACAAAGAUUAAAGGACUAAACAUGCUGAAUUAAUUGAGUUGGUUAAUUUGGAGUUAUAAAUCAUACAUGUUUGUCUCUUUUAUUCAUGUGUAUGCCAGAACGAAAGAGAACUUAUAAAAGUGAUAAUCAAGUACUUUAAGAUGUUAUUGAAGAGUGAUGGUAUAGUAUCACCUUGUGGAAGCUUUCCUUUCUUAGUGGUUGUGCAUCGUGUUUGUGGCACCCUCCAUGAAUCAUCUCUUUAUGAUGAAUGAGCUAUGUCCUUCUUGUGCAAAAUGUUAAAUUUCAUGUGUCUCCUUUAUCUCCAAUGAGUUUGUAUCUCAGGACUUCCCAGGUUGAUAUUGAAAGUUUUCCUGCAGGGGUUAGUCCCACAAAAUAUGCCAAUAUCUACACAAGCAGUUUUUAGUUCAGUAACCAAACUAGACUCCAUGUCUAAUCAGAUUAAGGAAGGCUGUUUAACCUAAGCACCAUGCUUAAUUUAAAAGCCAAUGGAAGUAUGUCGAGUACUUCCAAACCAACACUUACUAGGAUAAACAAAGGUAGCACGAUGGCAUUUAUAGAGAUCUACUCAAGUGGAGAUGAAGUAGUGUGAUUAGUACUUAACAAAUUGAGCAUCUCUCAAAGGUAGGGACAACCAACGUAGCAACAUGGCAAAGGAUGUUUUUAUGUAAAGUACUCCCCCAAGCUUGAAUUUUGCAAAAUUCAAGUUUGGAUGAAUUUAAUUCAAUGUUGUGUGAUGGUUGGUUGGACAUACCUUGUGCUUGUCAUUCAUCCGAUCUUCUUGCUCCAAUCCUGGUAAGGUUAGUGGCAAAAAUACCCGAAGGAAUAUUUCUACAAUUAUCUCAAUAUGCUCAAUACACAAGGCAAUGUUGCAAAUAAUUAGAAGUUCAUGUCACAAUCUGAUAGGUGCUUGUUUUAGGACACUAAGCUUGUCCUUGGGAAACUAUCAAUCAACUCAACGAGAUCUGCAAUAUUUAUUAUAGACAUAUGCAUCGACAACCGCUCUUUUAAAGUUUUUAUAAAUAGAAAGGAAGAGGGGGUUGGAGAUCCCAAAUGUGGUAAGGAUGGAGAGACCAUUUGAUUGGGGAGAUGUUUUAUAUGAGCAAGGACUGGGUGAGGUAUUUAUGAAAUAACUUCCACGCUCACUGUUGUUUCUCUCAUUCUCAAACUCCAAGGAUGAUUCUUCAUGAAUGUUUAAAAUUCCUCUAGGAUUGUCUCUCAAGUUUGUUUUAUCUAUCCAUUCAAUGGUGAUAGCACAUGGAUUUUUAAUGCCCUCUAGCCAUUGAUGUUGCUCUUCUCGAUCCUCCUUCUUAUGCAUGGGAUGUCUAGAGAGAUUCAUAGGAUUAUCGGGAGGUUCAAGAGAAAGAGCAUAGUAGAAACUAUUAAGCUCAAGGAUGGGAUAGAUAGCCGAAUUAUGGGAUUGAAAUGUUUGGAAAUCGGCUAUUGAAACGUCCUUUCCUCGUCUGGGAGAUGAUUCCUUCUCUAUCUCUAGGAUUUUUCUAUGAAGACUAGUACAAGAAGGAUGUCCACGAAUGAAGACAUACCUUCCUUUACUAAUAGAUAAAGAAAGAAGGACUCUACCAAAGGUUAUAUGAUUAAGACCAAUGUGAAAAUAUCUAGGAAAAACAUGGUCUUGUAGGGCUAGGUCUAAACCAGAAUUUAUAGAAAGAUUAACAAAUUCCCUAGGUGUAGCUCAAAGUGCAUUAUCUUCUUGAUUAAAAGAUAGGACCUUAGCUAUAGAAAAGGGUUGGUUUUGACCUAUUGCAAUCAACUCCGGAUACAGAUCAUAAUUAGGGGCAGGACGUGUUGACUCCCAUGGUCUAUGGCUGGUCUCCGAAGGUGCAAAGAAUUUAAUAAUAGGUAUGGAAUUUGAGUUAUCCAUAAAGAUAAAAAUAAAAAGAUAAAAGAAUAAAAGUAUAAAAGUAUAAUACAAGAUAAUAGCAAGACUCAAAGUUAUCUCAGCAAACCGUCUUUCUCCCCGGCAACGGCGCCAGAAAUGCUUGUUGAUAUUUGGUAACGCAAUUAGAAAAUGAUCCGCAAGCGCACGGAUAUCGGUGAGCAUUUCACCCGGGAGGUUUUCCAGAGUAUCGUAUUUAUAUUUUUACCACUGGGAGAAAGGGUGCAUCUGACUAACCAAAUCUAUUGCUACUACCCCUUUAGGCUACAAAGAAUGUCUCUCGAUGUGAGUGAUGUAUAGAGAAGACUGCAACCGUAGUCUCGUUCUAACCUUGGUAAGGAUGAUCUACUGUUCUAUUGGGGAGGCUCACGGAAUCUAGACAACACAAAGGAUGUUUGACCCGCACCUUUAACCCUACCCGUCCUGCUAACGAGAUGUGAUCUACAAAGGUAACUCGGAAAUGUCACGUUCCUCGCUACUACCACGGUCCAGCUAGUCAGGGGAUAUCUAUGAGUACCCUAGCCUAAACACCACGUUUACGCUAACAAGUGAUUACUCUAAUACUCAACCGGAAGAGGAUUAAAGUAAACUCAUAAACCAAAGAACAAUAAAACAAGAACUUACUAGUAUUAGAAGUCGAAUUACUGAAGAAUCUUAGAAGCAAGCCUCGGGUUAGGAGACUUGAUCCUGUAGGUACAACUCGGAGUAGACACCGACAUGCCGGCCUUCUUCCGAUCCACACCUCCACUCUAUCUCUCUCAAUCUAGUAGAAACUAGAAGAUCUAUUUCUACCUUACAUUGGUUGCUAAGCCUAAAAAGAAAUAUUAUUUAGAGAAGAGGUUUUCCUUCGAGGGCACCCCUCAAUCUCUAUGAUAAUUUCUUGUCUUCUCCAGGGCCAGGGGGGCCUUGCUUAUAUAGUCCUCCCCUUCUAUGCGUUUUUGGGUCGAUAGGUGAGGUGGUACUAUGUUUUCCUUGAUCCAAUAGGUCGGUGGAACAUCCCGAGCGAAAGAGUCCUGAUUUGGCUCCAACAGGGGGGCGGGCGCCCAGGCUACCAGGGCGGGCGCCCUGGGCCUGGCCCAGUUUCGCCUCCGCUUCGGUCUCGUGGCUUCUGGAGUCUUCUAGAUGGUAGAAAAUUGCGCGGUGGGUUGAUAUCUCUAUGUAAUCCCGACAUGUGGGCCUUUCUUCCUUAUUUCCUGAUAACCCCCUGCAGAAAUAGACAAACACCAAAACUCGUGGAAUUCUGUCAGAUAAAACCCUAAGUCUAGAUGUUGAUUUCAUUUGGAUCCUUUUCUUUGUUUAUUUGAUAAUUAAAUUUGAUACUUAAGGACCGUCAACAGCAACCAUCUUUUCCUCACUAGCCUGCAUGUCUGGAUCCAUGGCGGAGAGGGAUUGGAGCAGCGACAUUGUCUCGAUCUGAUGUGGUUUUCUCUUAAUGAAUGUACUAUAACUACUACAGAAAACAUUUUUACAAGCGGUGCUAGAAGCAUCUUCGCACGCGGCCAAGUUCACCGCCUGUACUAGGGGUCGGUACAAAAUGGACCACAGUAUAGGCGGGGUAGUGUGAGCCGCCUGUCAAAAUUAGGUUUUCAUAGGCGGCUCACCUAGUCAGCCGCCUCUGAAAACCAAAUUUUCACAAGCGACUCACACUCCGCCGCAUGUGUAAAUAAUAUUUUAUAUAUAUUUCAAUUUUCCCACACCACACAGUGCUAAACAUCAUACACACACACACACACACACACAUAUAUAUAUAUAUAUAUAUAUAUAUAUAUAUAUAUAUAUAUAUAUAUAUAUAUAUAUAUAUAUAUAUAUAUAUAUAUAUAUACAUGAGCCAUAAAAUUACAUCAUACAUACACCACAUAUAUAUAUUAUAGAAUUGUAAACAUGAAAUCAAACAUCAACCAUAAAAUUACAUAUAUACACGUCAAUGCUUGUUAUCCGCACAACCAUACAGUGUUUACAUGUCAUUUCACUUCAGAUUUAGACCUAUUGUGUCUGUCAGCGCUCUAAAUUUAUCACUUGCUAAAUCACCCUCAUGAUCAAAAUAUGCACCAUGACUUGAAAUUAUUUCUCUCAUAAUAAAACCGCACAAGUCUGCUACUAUAUUUUCCAGAGUCUUUAGUGUAAAGGGCACGUCCUUUCCUUGCUUUUGCGGCUGGAAACAAAGUUUAAAAGCAUCAUUAUUACAUGUCCAAUAUAUACAUUUGCAACUUUAAUAAGAAAACUUCAUACAUAGAUAUUAUUUACCAUAUGUUGACGGUCCUUAAGUAUCAAAUUUAAUUAUCAAAUAAACAAAGAAAAGGAUCCAAAUGAAAUAAACAUCUAGACUUAGGGUUUUAUCUGACAGAAUUCCACGAGUUUUGGUGUUUGUCUAUUUCUGCAGGGGGUUAUCAGGAAAUAAGGAAGAAAGGCCCACAUUCAGGAUUACAUAGAGAUAUCAACGCACCGCGCAAUUUUCUACCAUCUAGAAGACUCCAGAAGCCACGAGACCAAAGCAGAGGCGAAACAGGGCCAGGACCUGGGCGCCCGCCCACCUGUCGAGCCCAAUCAGGACUCUUUCUCUCAGGAGAUCUCCACCGACCUAUUGGAUCCAGAAUAACAUAGUACCACCUCGCCUAUCGACCCAAAAACGCAUAGAAGGUGAGGACUAUAUAAGGAGACCCCCCUGGCCCCUAGAGAAGACAUGAAGAAAUUAUCAUAGAGAUUGAGGGGUGCCCUCGAAGGAAAACCUCUUCUCUAAUUAAUAUUUCUUUUUAGGCUUAGCAACCAAUGUAAAGUAGAAAUAGAUCUUCUAGUUUCUACUAGAUUGAGAGAGAUAGAGUGGAGGUGUAGAUUGGAGGAAGCCCGGCCUGUCGGUGUCUACUCCAAGCUUGUACCUGCGGGAUCAAGUUCUCCUAACCCGAAGCUUGCUCCUAGGAUUCUUCAGUAUUUCGACUUCUAAAUUCUAGUAAGUUCUUGUUUUAUUGUUCUUAUGGUUUAUGAGUUUACUUUAAUCUCUUCGCGUAGAGUUUAGAGUAAUCAUUGCUGGCGUAAACGUGGUGUUUAGGCUGGGGUACUCAUAGAUAUUCCCUGACUAGCUGGACCGUGGUAGUAGUGAGGAACGUGACAAUUCCGAGUUACCUUUGCAGAUCACAUCUCGUUAGCAGGAAGGAUAGGGUUUAUAGGUGCGGGUUGAACAUCCUUUGUGGUGUCUAGAUUCCGUUAGCCUCCCCAUUAGAACAGUAGAUCAUCCUUACCAAGGUUAGAAGGAGACUACGGUUGCAGUCUUCUCUAUUUAUCACUCACAUCGAAAGACAUUCUUUGUAGCCUAAAGGGAUAGUAGCAAUAGAUUUGGUUAGUCAGAUGCACCCUUUCUCCCAGUGGUAAAAAUAUAAAUACGAUAACUCUGGAUAACCUCCCGAGUGAAAUGCUCACCGAUAUCCGUGCGCUUGCGGAUCGUUUCCUUAUUGUGUUACCAAAUAUCAACAAGCAUUUCUGGCGCCGUUGCCGGGGAGAAAGAUGGUUUGCUGAGAUAAUUUUGAGUCUUGCUAUUAUCUUGUAUUAUACUUUUAUACUUUUAUUCUUUUAUCUUUUUAUUUUUUUGGAUAACUCAAAUUCCAUACCUAUUAUUAAAUUCUUUGCACCUUCGGAGACCAGCCAUAGACCAUGGGAGUCAACACGUCCUGCCCCUAAUUAUGAUCUGUGUCCGGAGUUGAUUGCAAUAGGUCAAAACCAACCCUUUUCUAUAGCUGAGGUCCUAUCUUUUAAUCAAAAAGAUAAUGCACUUUUAGCUACACCUAGGGAAUCUGUUAAUCUUUCUAUAAAUUCUGGUUUAGACCUAGCCCUGCAAGACCAUGUUUUUCCUAGAUAUUUUCACAUUGGUCUUAAUCAUAUAACCUUUGGUAGAGUCCUUCUUUCUUUAUCAGUUAGUAACGGAAGGUAUGUCUUCAUUCGUGGACAUCCUUCUUGUACUAGUCUUCAUAGAAAAAUCAUAGAGAUAGAGAAGGAAUCAUCUCCCAUACGAGGAAAGGAAGUUUCAAUAGCCGUUUUCCAAACAUUUCAAUCCCAUAAUUCGGCUAUCCAACCCAUCCUUGAGCUUAAUAAUUUCUACUAUGCUUUUUCUCUUGAACCUCCCGAUAAUCCUAUCAAUCUCUCUAGACAUUCCAUGCAUAAGAAGGAGGACCGAGAAGAGCAACAUCAAUGGCUAGAGGGCAUUAAAAAUCCAUGUGCUAUCGCCAUUGAAUGGAUAGAUAAAACAAACUUGAGAGACAAUCCUAGAGGAAUUUUAAGCAUUCAUGAAGAAUCAUCCUUGGAGUUUAAGAAUGAGAGAAACAACAGUGAGAAUGGAAGUUAUUUCAUAAAUACCUCACCCAGUCCUUGCUCAUAUAAAACAUCUCUCCAAUCAAUUUGCCUCUCCAUCCUUACCACAUUUGAGAUCUCCAACCCCCUCUUCCUCUUCAUUUAUAAAAACUUUAAAAGGGCGGUUGUCGAUGCAUAUGUCUAUAAUAAAUAUUGCAGAUCUCGUUGAGUUGAUCUUGAUAUAGGUAGGUGUUGGAGGGGAAACCACUUCACCAACAUAACUUGAUGGUUUCCCAAGGACAAGCUUAGUGUCCUAAAACAAGCACUUAUCAGAUCAUAACAUGAACUUCUAAUUAUUUGCAACAUUGCCUUGAGCAUAUAAAGAUAAUUGUAGAAAUAUUCCUUCGGGUAUUCUUGUCACUAACCUUUCCAGGAUUGGAGCAAGAAGAUCGGAUGAAUGACAAGCACAGUGUAUGUCCAACCAACCAUCACACAACAUUGAAUUAAAUUCAUCCAAACUUGAAUUCAAGCUUGGGGAAGUACUUUACAUAAAAACAUCUUUUGCCAUGUUGCUACGUUGGUUGUCCUUACCUUUGAGACAUGCACAAUUUGUUAAAUACUAAUUACACUACUUCAUCUCCACUUAAGUAGAUCUCUAUAAAUGCUCUCAUGCUACCUUUAUUUGCUUUAGUAUAUGUCUAGGUUUGGAAUAGUUUCAUUUAUCUCUUAAUUAAGCAUGGUUCUUAGUUUAGGAAUGAUGAUCUUACUUCCAAGGGAUUUUAAAUUAAGCAUGGUGCUUAGGUUAAAAUGCCCUUCUAAAUUAAAUUAGACAUGGUGUCUAGGUUGAUUUUUAAGCCGAUAGUAUGCUAUAGUAGAUAUGGGAUAUUUUGUUGGACUAACCCCUGCAGGAAAACUUUCAAUAUCAACCUGGGAAGUCCUGAGAUAAACUCGCAUUGGAGAUGAAGAAAGUGACACAUGAAGUUUAACAAUUUGCACAAGAAAGACAUGGCUCAUAAGAGAUGAUUCAUGGAGGGUGCCACAAACACGAUGCACAACCGCUAAGAAAGGAAAGCUUCCACAAGGUGAUACUGUACCGUCACUCUUCAAGUAUAACACCUUAAGGUACUUGACUAUCGCUUUUAUAAGCUUCUCCUUGGUUCUAGCAUUCACAUAAAUAAAGAGACAAACAUGUAUGAUUUAUAUCUCCAGAUUAACCAACUCAAUUAAUUCAACAUGUUUAGUCCUUUAAUCUUUGUUCUUAGAACUACCUUCGUGAUCCCACGCUCCUAAACAUAUAAGCUAAUAUGUUGCACAUUCAAUCUUUGGAAGAUAUAAACAAAACAUAAAUAUAGAUAGAUUAUCUUUCCAUUAGGUUGAGCCAUCUGAUCUGACAAAUGUUUCAAAUACUACACUCAUGAUCUUAUUAUCCAUCAACUUUGUCUUGCUCACUAUGAUUAAGGUUAGAGAAGAACAAAUACACUUUUGGUUCUGUUAGUGUUUUCCACCAACAGAGCCCAUGCACUUGAUCUCUGCCUUGUCUUUAUGAACAGGUACACUUCAAGCAAAACAUGGAGGAGUUUUACAACUCCCAGACUCCACCAAGUGAAGGACCUGGAUCUAUGAGCACAAACACACUGAGCAGGAUAUUGCCAACACCAUACUUCGAACUGCUGGGCAAAGAAGAACAUGGGUGACACCGUAUCAAGAGGUGCAGACGUCAAGGUCCACACCUAAUCAAAUGAUGCACCUAAAGGAUGAAGAUGGUGGAAAGUCUUGUCCAGAAGACUUAAAACAUUGGAUCCUUGUCGGAAGAGGUCAACAUCAUCGACUCAAGUCACCUUUCUUGAUCAAGAAGGACGAUCCUGGUGUUCCAAGCAUCGAGUGCGCAAUCAAUGGAUUCUCUUUUCAGAAGACACUCUACGACACCGGAUCUGACGACAACAUAAUGGCCGCAGUCACUUAUCAGCUCCUGCAUGGAACCAUGCCCCUACAACCAAUAUAUUCAGCUCCAGAUGAUUUUCAGGUCAUUGACAUGGGAGAAGACGAAUAUGAUCCACCCACCAUCCUUGGAAGACCGUUCCUCAACACUAUCAAAGCAAUCAUCUACAUUGGAACCGGAGAAGUCCACAUGUACUUCCCCUCUGAGAAGGUACGCAACUAUUUUACUGACCAUAACUAUAUAGUUGAAGACUCUAAGCAGGUCAGGACAAGAAGACGACGCAACCGCAACUAGAGGAGGCAAAUCAUCAAGAACGGAUGGGUAGACUACGAAGGAAAAGUGAUAAGGACUGAAGACAUACAGCUUGAACAGAACUGUCCUGAGGAGACCGAAGCACCAAGUUAGGUGUGGAAAAUGAAGAUAACUAUACACAAAGAGAGGCGCCGCCGGAAUCACCGACUACGCCACCUAGUGAAUCCCAGGACGACUGAGAAAACAGAGAGUCCCGUUCGGAGGACAUAAAAAUACCGAACGCCUUGCCAAGAGGUAAACUUGGUAGUUACCCUUUCCUUUCAAUUAUUCAAUUAUAAUUUGCUUAGUUAAUCAAGUUCAUGCUAUCUUGAAAAGAAAAUAAAAAUGUUAAAUAGUAAGCCCCAUGUGAGUAUGCUCAUAGCAUAAAACCCAUAAGUACAUUCACUGUGGUGGCAUAAAAAUAAAAUAAAUAAGUUUUCAUCUUACAAUAAAAAUAUAUAAAAAUAAUAAUAAUAAUAAUAAUAAGUGUAUGAUCCUGCUAAAUAAAUAAGGAAGUUCAACAUGACGAAGGCUAGAUAUUUAUGCUAACACUUAAUUAGUUCCACAAGCUUUGUUGUCUAUUUGAGCUCCACAGAAUUUAAGAAUCAAGAAGAUUAGCAGACGGAGGACAUUCUAAUCGCUGUCAGAAUGCUGCUGACUUUCAAAUACACCUCUGCCACCUGCUAGCUACAUCAAGAGAAAUUACGUCAAAAUUCAGCUUGGGGGAAAGCACCCCCAUUAUUCUCGCUAAGUAUUUCUACCUAUCUUUAUACUUAUAUUAUGUUAGAAUAUUAAAAUACAUAAACUAUGAAAAAACAAAAUAAAAAUUUUGUGCUUAUAUAUAUAUCAUUUGCUUAGUAUGUUUAAUAAAUAAAUAAAGUGGCUAUGCUAAUCUGAAUCUUAAUAAUAAAACUCUAGCACGGAUAUGAUGAAUAGUUGCUCUGCAGAAUUUGCAAUUUUCAAGUUCCCUCUCAAGUUUAGACAUAACUGUUAUAAUUUAAAGCUUGCUCUAAAUCUAAACUUGUGGGAUGAAAACUUGAUCUGAAAUCUAAGUUGUUAACGGAUAUGAUAUGGGAAGGUUGAGCUGCUGUUUAUCUGUUCCUAGACAUGCUAGAAUUCUGGAGAAUUUUAUCUUUGAAAAAUCUUUAAAAUAUUGCAUGAUGAGUUCCUGUAUGAUGAGAGUUUAAAUUCCUACCACAGCCAUAUAUAGAUGCUUGCUAGACUUUGAGCCACACAUUUACUAUUUACUGCUUAUGAGCAUUGAGUGUGGUCAAGCUGUGUAGACCCUUAGGAACUUGUCAUGUGGUUAAAUCAAGAUUCACUUGCACGUUCACUCAUAUACGCUACUUCUACUCCGGAAGUACCAUCCACAUAUAUAUCCAUCUAUUUCCAUCUCCAGAAUCACCCAAAAAUAUUCUACUCCUAAUCCGGGAGAGAAUAGUCAAAAACAUUUUCCUAUCCCUGUUAUUCCCUGUGAAAUAAAUGCUGCAAAUAUUUUGGUUACUACCACUUGCUAUAUUAUUUAAGGAGAUGAGUGCUCUAAAAAAAGAAGAAGAAAAAAAAAUACGAGAAAAUAAAAAGGGGCAAGUGCCCGGAACCUCGAAAGAAAAGAAAAAGUGAGACGAGAGGUAAAAAUGGACAAGUGUCCGACAGUAGAAUUAGGGGUACAAGAUACCCACCUGAGAGGAAAGAAAAAGAAAAUAUAGAGCAUCUCAUUCUCCCCAAAAAGCUUCAAAGUGCAAGAAAGGUAUGUAUCCCCUCAAAAGAGCAAAAUUAGAAUUAGACUUGCACCAUCAUUAUCACCAUCAUCACCAUACACCAUUCAUUCGCCACACAUGCACAUCUUGAUUUGACUUAUUGACUUGUUUCUCUGGAUCCAUGGUUUGACUAUGCAAUAAAUGUCUUGUAAGUAUGUAUUAGCUGUCUCCCACCUAUGAGCUCCAGAUAUCAGAACCUUAUUAGAGUAGGGUGAGAGAGAAGGCAAUAUCACUAUGCAUCAUACCAAAAAUACCACAUACUUUGAGAGAAGGCAUAUACCAUUACUGCCUUGGUAAGGAUCCAGAAAUACCACAAAAGAGAGAUCUGAGAGAGUCAUACAAGGAAACUCUGAGUUUUAUUUGAAAAUCUGCAAAAACUCCAGAGCUAUAGUUGAUCAAAGAACAAGAUACAUGGUGUUUGACUGACCGUUCUAUCUUUUAACUGCUCAAGACACAAGUGACGGUUACAAGCCCCAUGGUAAAAGGUAAAAUGAGUAAGUUUUAAGUCUUAACAGUUUAUUCUAACUCAGAGAUGAGAUCUUGCUUGAAUGUGUGUGUACUUUUAAGAAAUGAAACCACUGCAGAAACUUUCGAGUUCAUCCUUGCUCAGGGACGAGUAAGAGGUAAGCUUGGGGGAGUUUGUUGACGGUCCUUAAGUAUCAAAUUUAAUUAUCAAAUAAACAAAGAAAAGGAUCCAAAUGAAAUCAACAUCUAGACUUAGGGUUUUAUCUGACAGAAUUCCACGAGUUUUGGUGUUUGUCUAUUUCUGCAGGGGGUUAUCAGGAAAUAAGGAAGAAAGGCCCACAUGUCAGGAUUACAUAGAGAUAUCAACGCACCGCGUAAUUUUCUACCAUCUAGAAGACUCGAGAAGCCACGAGACCGAAGCGGAGGCGAAACGGGGCCAGGACCUGGGCGCCCGCCCAGUUUCCUUGGGCGCCCGCCCACCUGUCGAGCCCAAUCAGGACUCUUUCUCUCGGGAGAUCUCCACCGACCUAUUGGAUCCAGAAUAACAUAGUACCACCUCGCCUAUCGACCCAAAAACACAUAGAAGGGGAGGACUAUAUAACAUGAAGAAAUUAUCAUAGAGAUUGAGGGGUGCCCUCGAAGGAAAACCUCUUCUCUAAUUAAUAUUUCUUUUUAGGCUUAGCAACCAAUGUAAAGUAGAAAUAGAUCUUCUAGUUUCUACUAGAUUGAGAGAGAUAGAGUGGAGGUGUAGAUUGGAGGAAGCCCGGCCUGUCGGUGUCUACUCCAAGCUUGUACCUGCGGGAUCAAGUUCUCCUAACCCGAAGCUUGCUCCUAGGAUUCUUCAGUAUUUCGACUUCUAAAUUCUAGUAAGUUCUUGUUUUAUUGUUCUUAUGGUUUAUGAGUUUACUUUAAUCUCUUCGCGUAGAGUUUAGAGUAAUCAUUGCUGGCGUAAACGUGGUGUUUAGGCUGGGGUACUCAUAGAUAUUCCCUGACUAGCUGGACCGUGGUAGUAGUGAGGAACGUGACAAUUCCGAGUUACCUUUGCAGAUCACAUCUCGUUAGCAGGAAGGAUAGGGUUUAUAGGUGCAGGUUGAACAUCCUUUGUGGUGUCUAGAUUCCGUUAGCCUCCCCAUUAGAACAGUAGAUCAUCCUUACCAAGGUUAGAAGGAGACUACGGUUGCAGUCUUCUCUAUUUAUCACUCACAUCGAAAGACAUUCUUUGUAGCCUAAAGGGAUAGUAGCAAUAGAUUUGGUUAGUCAGAUGCACCCUUUCUCCCAGUGGUAAAAAUAUAAAUACGAUAACUCUGGAUAACCUCCCGGGUGAAAUGCUCACCGAUAUCCGUGCGCUUGCGGAUCGUUUCCUUAUUGCGUUACCAAAUAUCAACACCAUAUUUUUGUCCCUGACGUAUCGUCCACGCUGCCUUAUAAACUUAUAGAUAUAGUACCCACAAUAGACCGAUCCUGGUGGUUGCUUGUGGCACUAUAUAAUGAGCAACAGAUUAUUCUAAAAUUGUCAUGCCUUAUGUAUAAUUUAUAUGAUGAAAUAUGUUUGGACAACUUACCGCAUUGUGGUGUUGUAUCGUCAAUGGCACCCUAGGAUCUGAGCGUGCGGCAUCGACCGGUCCUUUUUGUUUCUUAUAAAAUCACCAUGCCCUGUAGAUAUCGAAUAUAAAUCACUAAAGUUAUUUUGAAACUCUAAUUCAUAUAAGUACGCAUGUGGUUGCAUGUUGGCUCACCUUUCUAAUUGAACUAAGAAUAGUUUAUACUUCUCUGGAGGAACAUGUAAAGAGUCUAUGACAAGCGCCCUCCCUUCGAAGGGAGAAAUAUAAAAACAAUUCAAUGGUCACUGCAUGAAUAAAUGAGUGAGUGACACAUGCACUAUUGCACGUUCAGGCAUUAGCACCGGUCGGGAAGGGCCUGUUGUCCCGGUUUCCAAGCCGGUGCUGCCCUUCCGGGACUAAAGGCCCACCCUUUAGUCCCGGUUCAGGGAUCUGGGGCUAUAGCCACCCCUUUAACACCGGUUGGUUAUACCAACCGGUUUUAAAGGGUCCUGCCUGGGCUGCCACAUUGCAGGACCGGGGAAUUUUUUUUGUUUCAUUUCUUCGGUUCUGUUUAUUGUUUAUAUAUAAUAAUAAUAGAUUUGUCAAUUUGGGGACGAGUCAGUGUCAGAAGGUAGAUGGUUGUUUAGGUGUGGAGUUCAAUCGUUUUUUGGUUGCCAAUUUGUUGUUAUUUCUGCAUGAGCUUUGAUCUGGAUCUUCUAAAUUUGUGAACUAAUUUGGGUUCAAACUUUGGUGUUGGUGCAAAAGCUAGUCUGCAAACACAAAGGGCUAAUACCCGAUUCAAACGUUAAGGCGUGCCAGCCGAUUUGACCUUACUAUCGGCAAAGGUGGUAACUCGAAUACUUUAGUCCUGACAACAGCGAUGCGCCCGGAUACUUUAGUCCUGACAACAGCGAUCCGUAUACAAAACGAUUUAAAUAAUUAGGGAAAUAAUAAAGCUAUCCCCCGUGACAAGCUGAAACUCUUCCACAAACCGAUCGGCAGCUUCCGGACUCUCCCUUCGUAUCAUCGGCAGAUUCCCUUGCCAUAGUCAUCGGCAGACUUCCUCAUCAUAUCCAUCGGCACAGACACAUCACCACCUAUAGACUUAGUCACGUUCAACCUCUCCUUCAUCGGCAACCAUACUCAUCGGCAACUCAUCCUGUAGACAAAACACCGCCGUCUCAUCCUGCCGGCCUGGACACGUGCCCAAAAACGGUGUCAACACAUGCCCCCCAAUUUCGGAGUAUGAAAUCAUUAAUGCUCCGAAAUUCUCUGCAGUAAUGAUGCCUUUUCCCGCAAUUAAUGCUCCUAAUCUGGUAACCGACAACCUCAAUCUGAACAACUCUGAUCCUAUUCUUCUGCAGAUUCCUUGAAAUCCUCAACUUCCUAAACGGGCAUUUCCUUCUCAGCCGUACAUCGGCAAUAUUACCGUUACGAAGAUCUGCCGAUGGACUGAUCAGGACGUUCGUACAAACGGCUAUCUUCACUUUAUUCGCCCAUCGGCAAUAUGACCGUUACAGGACGCUACCGAUGGACCGACCAGGAGAUCCCGCACAGUAAAAUAUCUCCGGAUAAUGACCGCUUCCCGUCAAAUCACCUGCACAAUCCCUUGAUUAUCGUGCGAACAGUUACCAUAUCUACCUGAGCACCCUCGGAUUUCUCGGAUGCGGCAAAGAGAUAAGUCAGAUUUGCCCUUGCCCGUUUUAUCCUAUAAAUAGUUCCUUCUCGGGUACUCCUUCUCCAUCACAUCGUUCCACCAUCCCAACUUUACUUUCCCAGCGGCGGCGCCAUUCAAGAUCUCCAAGACCUCCGACCAAAACUCUUCCUCACCAACCCCGGAGCCCUCAGACGUUCUCCUCGUGGCAAGAUGGCCAUUAGCUUCAUCGUCCCUGAGGUCAGCUCUUCAUCCUAUCUCCUGUACUUUUCCUCGCAUCCCUGUUCAUUCGCAAUUCAUUUUACUGAACAUCUUCCUUUUCUUUCUUCUUUUUUUUGUGUUCUUUUUUUUAUCUCCAAAACCACUAGGAAUUGCCUAACAAAAUUGUCAUCCCCACCGAUCAACCACACCUUCAAUGCCUCGGCCCGCUAGGGGAUCCAGAUCCAACCGAUCUCAUUAACGCAGAAACCAACAGGAUCCCUUUUAGAACUGAAAACUUUUCUUUAGAUCUGUGAAAAGACACCUUCCGUUCCUGGCCCAGCCCUACUGUGGGGUGGAAAGACUGGUUCUUGAGGGUCAGCAACUCCAAUGAAGUCCAAUGGGGUGAGAGAAAGCUAGAUCAAUGCAUUAGGUUGUCCAUUGCCGAUAUGCAGAGGAAUGAGUCACUGUUGAUAGCUGCAUCUUACUUUUGGUCAGACACCCUCAAUGCUUUUAUCUUCGGCCACGGCCCUGCUUCCCCUACUCUUGUCGAUGUAGCCAUGCUCACUGGUCUAGAUGUAUCUUCCGUCGAUAGCACCCACUUUUUUGACACCGCUCCUAGUGCCAAAGUGGAAACUCGCUCCAUCGGCGGCUGGUCGGGGUACAUUCAGAAGUACCGUGGGAUGGGGCCCGUCAGCAUAAAGGAACAAACCACCUUUCUGAACAUGUGGCUGGACAAAUUCGUAUUCUGUGGUCGAUCGGCAGGACCGACUUUCGUCUAUCUAUCGGCAGCAGAGAGACUGGCUAACGGUGGCCGAUUCCCUCUCGACCGAUACUUGCUUGGCGCUGCCUACCACCUUCUUCAUCAGGUAGCCAAGAAACUCCUGCUCGGCCAGUCCACUAGCAACUUGGGAGGCCCCUGGUGGUUUAUCAACAUGUGGCUUAAUCUGCAUCUGCACAAGCGCCUCAACCUUAACUUGUUCACACAGCGUUUCCCAAGAGAUAUAGCUGAAAAUCAUGUGUUGGGUGAAGAGGAAUCGGCAACACGCGCUCCUUUAAACUUCGGCGAAGCCGUCAUAGUUCUGCCUGGUUCAGGAGGUAAUCCAGAUCAGGUUAGCCGAUUCUUCCAGACUCUGUACGAGGGCCUGGCCAGAGAUGAACGACCAUGGUUGGCCUAUGAUGACCCAGACAGUAUGCUCCCCUUGGUUUUCAACCCAUUUGAUGAAGCUCUUGACAGGGAUAAUGAAGUGAUGAUGGCAAUUGUGACUCCUAGAGCCAUACCAGUGAAUUUCUUUGGUAGCACAAAAACCUCCCCCCAGACUUAUGAAUUUUACAACCCAUCGGCAUUAGCUCGUCAAUUAGCUUUCGGCCAGUUGCCGAUUGCACUCUGUUAUGCCGAUGUGAUAAAACCCAGGGAGCCCAUCACCAACUUUCUUGAGUGGAUUCGAGUAGCCCAACUACCACCGAAUGCCGAUACAGAUGCAGAUUUGUCAGAGUGGGUUCCAGCCGCCUUCAUUACCCAGGCGUACAAGCUAUGGUGGGCAGAAUGGAAGGAGCAUCUAUUCUGCAAGUCAGCCCUUUCAUACCGCGGCAUGAUCGACCCCGAGUACAAAGUACCCGAUGAUGCUGUAAGUAUUUCAAACCGAUGUUCCAUUUUUUCAAUCUUAUUUCCAUCGGUAACUCACCUUUGUAUCCUUUUUGUAGGUUGACAACACCCCCUCAUCGGUUAGCAUAAGUGGUAAGCCAAUUGACCUGUUUCCACCAGGCCCAAUCUCUUCAAUCGGCCACAAUGCUCCCACUCUGGCUACCAUUGUGCAUCGAGGUGUGCGCCUUAAGAAAGUUACCACCAGGAGAACUCAGACACCACCAACGGUAGCUGCUUCCACUCUGGCACAGGCUUUCAAGGCAAUUUGUCGAACCUUUUUUAUUUAUACGGAUUACCUUUAUAUCGGCUACAUUUGUACUCAUAAACUCCUUUUUGUUGCUGCAGCAAACCAGUGCAUCGGCAAAAGCCAAACGCCAAGGUGCCGAUGUCCCCCAGUCCAGCCAGCCAAAGAGGAAGGGCGCCAAGGGUACCAGGGCUAGAACAAAGCGCCAGAAAGUGGCAACUCCUCCUCCUCCUCCUCCUCCGGCAUCUCCUAUUCCGAUGGAAUCUUCUCCUUCCCCUCCAGAUGUAGAGAUCCAGCAAGCAUCAUCUCCCCCUUAUCCGCAGGAAGCACCAAAAGCAGACGAACCCCAGCAAGAAGAACCCCAAGCAGAAGGUACAUCGACUGACGCAGGUGAGCAAACAACUGGCCUGGCAGGUUCAAUCACGUCAUCGGCAGUUCCCCCAAUUCAGACAAGCAUCGUUCUUCCUCAGGGUAACAUAUUUUAUAAUAUUGCCACCGACGAACUUAUUCUCAUUCAGCCUCAUAACUCUUUCUGUCUUCCUUUCAAACGAUGUUUUCCCAUCGGCAACCCUGGCCGAUCAACCUGUGGCCCCACCGGCAUCUUCCAGUCAAAGGCAAGAAAUAGCCUUGAAGCAAGUAAGUCGCCCAGCCUUCAUCAGUAUUAUUUGCCGAUUCUCCGAGCAUGAACUAACUUACUUUGUUUUCCUUCCCAGGAACAAGAUUCUCCCGACAGCCUAUUCUCCUUCGCCAUCGACAUCUCUGAAGAAGAAGGUGAGGAAGCAAGCUCUUCCCAGACAGUUGGCAUCACAUCGGCAGAGAUCAGGGCCAAGCUGGGAGAACUGUCGGCCCUCCUUCAUCAGGACACGGCACAACUGGUCGAUGACUCCGACCUAGCCAAGGUUCUGUUCAGGACUCUCAGAGGCCAGAUCCCAGCCGAUGUUGAAGAAAUCCUCUUCCAAGCCGCACAUUUGGAGAGUCGUCAGCUGCAGUACCAGAGGGCUUCUCGGCGUCUUGCCGAUAGAGCUGCUCAGACUCAGCUCUCUAAAGAGAUGAGGAAAGAGAAGCUCCUGACCGAUGAGAAGCACAAGAACAUUGGCAUCUUGAGAUCUUCAGGAGACACGCUGAAGCAGAAGAUAUCUGACCUAUCGGCAAAAAGGGAAUCUCUGUUGGCAGAACUCAAACAAGUGGAGGACGCCUUGUCCCAAGCCCAACAGGAAGAGAGUCAACUGCCAGAGACCAUCAAGCUUCUUGAGCACGAGCGGAACGUCUACGGUCGCAAGGCACUACAAUUGAAGAAGAAGCUGAAGCCGAUAGAAGGCUCUGCCGAUGACGAUAUCAAGGAGAUAGAAGCAGCCAACCAAAUCCGGCUACGCGCCAUAUCGGCGAUCCAGGCGCUGCUGAACACAUGAAGCUCUCAUCGGCAACACAUCUGUGUUUUCCUGCUCUUUUAGCUUUUAGUCUAGCCGAUAGGACUGUUAUCGGCAUCUUUUGAAACAUUAAGUCCUGCCCCCAAACAUUUAAAUCCAGCCGAUAGGAGUGUUAUCGGCAUUUAAACUUCUAUGCAUCGACCCAUACACUGGGGUAGUACUUCUUUAAAUAUUUGCCAUUUAAUGCUCUGGGAAAUUCAACUCCUUCGAGAGUUUCUAGAAUAUAGGCAUUUCCAGGAGCCGAUCGACUUAUCCGAUAGGGACCUUCCCAAUUAGGAGACCACUUUCCAAACUUUGAACUUUUAGUCCCGAUCGGUAAAAUUAAUUUCCAUACCAAGUCCCCAUCGGCAAACUCCUUAGCCUUUACUUUCUUGUCAUACCAUCUAGCAACUCUCUUCUUAUUUUCUUCUAUACUCAUUAAAGCCUUUAACCGAUGUCCUGCUAGAUCAUCUAACUCAUCGGUCAUCAAAGUGGCAUAAUCAUCGGCAGCCAAUUGAUCUUGAAAAGAUAAUCGCCUAGAUCUAGCCUUAAUCUCCCAAGGCAACACUGCAUCAUGUCCAUACACCAAUUGAUAGGGUGAUACCUUGGUUGAUCCAUGACAAGCCAUCCGAUAGGACCACAACGCUUCAUUCAAUAAUGUAUGCCACCGCUUAGGAUUUUCUUCAAUCUUUCGUUUGAUAAGCUUGAUAAUUCCUUUGUUAGACGCCUCAGCCUGCCCAUUGGCUUGAGCAUAAUAAGGAGAAGAAUUCAACACUUUAAUCCCCAUACCGAUUGCAAAUUCAUCAAACUCCCCUGAUGUAAACAUAGUGCCCUGAUCGGUAGUAAUUGUUUGAGGAAUCCCAAAUCGGUAAAUGAUAUGCUCCUUUACAAAAUCAAUCAUAUUGGCCGAUGUGACUUUCUUCAAAGGAAUAGCUUCGACCCACUUAGUGAAAUAAUCAGUGGCAACUAGAAUAAACUUAUGCCCUUUGCUAGAUGGUGGAUAAACCUGGCCGAUCAGAUCAAUAGCCCAUCCUCGGAACGGCCAAGGCUUUAUGAUAGGAUUCAUAGCCGAUGCAGGUGCCCUUUGAAUAUUACCAAACUUCUGACACCCUUGACACCCUUUGAAAUACUUAAAGCAAUCCUCAAGUAUAGUCGGCCAAUAAUAUCCAUUCCUCCUAAUCAUCCACUUCAUCUUAAAAGCCGACUGAUGUGCUCCACACACCCCUUCAUGAAUUUCUCCCAUCAAACUCCUAGCUUCAUCAUCACCUAAGCAUCGGAGAAGAAUUCCAUCAAUAGUUCGAUAGUAUAAUUCUCCUUCGAGGAGCACAUACUUGGUCGCUUGAAAUCGAACUCGUCUUUCAACUUUCUUAGAUGGAUCUUUCAAAUAAUCAAUAAUUUCUUUCCUCCAAUCAUCGGCAUCGAUUGUCGAUACUGUAUUAAUUAUAGGCUGAUAUCCCGAGGCAUGUUGAGCCAACCGAUUGGCCUCUUCAUUAUGCAAUCGGGGAACAUGCUCUAAACGGAAAUCUUUGAAUUCCUUUAACAGUUGCAUGCUCUUCUCGUGAUAAGUUAUGAGAACUUCACUUCGGCAUUCAUAGCUCCCGGCCAAUUGAUUUAUAACCAACAUAGAAUCCCCGAAGACUUCGACAGCGUCAACACGAACUUCCCUUAACAACUCCAAUCCCUUUAUCAAAGCCUGAUACUCAGCCUGAUUAUUUGUCGAUGUAGCAACAAUCGGCAAGGAAAAUUCAUACUUCCUCCCCUUAGGGGAAACUAAUACUAUGCCGAUUCCUGCCCCCCGGUCACAUGUAGAUCCAUCAAAGAAAAGCGUCCAGGGCACAAUUUCCAAGGCCUCCACUGCACUGCAAUGUUGAGUCACAAAAUCGGCCAUAAUCUGCCCUUUAACUGCCUUAGCCGAUUCAUAACGCAGAUCGAAUUCCGACAGGGCCAAAAUCCAUUUACCGAUCCUGCCACUCAUAAUCGGCAUAGAUAGCAUGUACCGGACCACAUCAUCUUUGCAAACAACAGUGCAUUCGGCCGAUAAAAAGUAGUGCCUUAACUUGAUACACGAAAAAUAUAAGCAUAGGCAUAGUUUCUCAAUGGCCGAAUACCUGGUCUCAGCAUCAAUCAACCUCCUGCUUAAGUAAUAAAUUACACGCUCUUUCCCUUCAAAUUCUUGAAUCAAAGCCGAACCGAUAACCAUCCCAUCGGUAGACAAAUACAAUCUGAAGGGCUUUCCUUGCUGAGGUGGAACUAGAACUGGAGGAUUCACUAGAUACCUCUUGAUUUCAUCUAGAGCCAACUGCUGUUCUUUCCCCCAAAUAAAUUCUUGAUCGGCUUUUAGCUUAAGAAGAGGACUGAAGGCACGAAUUUUAGCAGACAAAUUAGAUAUAAAACUCCUGAUAAAAUUUACCUUGCCGAUCAAGGACUGGAGUUCGGUCUUGUUGGUAGGGGCUACUAUCUUAUUGAUGGCAUCAAUAGAUCUUCGACUAAUUUCAAUCCCCCUUUGAUGCACCAUGAAACCAAGAAACUGCCCUGCCGAUACACCAAAUGCACACUUAUUGGGAUUCAUCUUCAAUCCAUGCUUCCUUGUGCACUCCAAUACAUUUUGUAGAUCGGCAAGAUGCUUUGCGAAGUCCCCGGAUUUGACCACCACAUCAUCAAUAUAAAUUUCUACCAGUUUACCGAUGAACUCAUGAAAUAUAAAAUUCAUGGCCCUUUGAUAAGUAGCACCAGCAUUCUUAAGGCCAAAAGUCAUAACUAUCCAUUCGAACAAUCCAACAUGACCAGGGCAUCUGAACGCAGUCUUUGGAAUAUCUUCUUCAGCCAUGAAUAUUUGAUUGUACCCUGCAUUACCAUCCAUAAAGCUAAUAAUCCGAUGCCCAGCUGCAGCGUCAACCAACAGAUCGGCAACUGACAUUGGGUAUCCAUCCAUCGGCGUAGCUUUGUUAAGGUUCCUGAAAUCAAUGCAGACCCGAAGUUUCCCGUUCUUCUUGUAGACCGGAACAACAUUGGAAAUCCAUUCGGCAUACCGACACUGCCGAAUAAACUUAGCUUCAAUAAGUUUGGUGAUUUCGGCCUUAAUAUCAGGGAGGAUGUUAGGAUUACAUCGGCGAGCUGGCUGUUGAUGUGGCCGAAAUCCAGACUUGAUGGGCAACCGAUGUUCAACAAUUGAUCGGUCCAAACCAGGCAUCUCAGUAUAAUCCCAAGCGAAGCAAUCUUUAUAUUCCUUUAACAAAUUGGUUAAUUGUCGCUUACACUCAGGAUUCAACUUAGCACUAAUAAAAGUUGGUCUAGGCUUAUCACCACUACCGAUAUCUACUUCUACCAAAUCAUCGGCCGAUGUGAAUCCCUGGCCUAACUUUCCAUCAUCGGCGAACCUAUCCAUUAAAAAUCGUCGUCAGAACCGACUGCUUGGAUCGGUGGAAUCUCGUAAUCGGCGACCUUGAGAAAAUCUUUUUCCCAAACUUCUCCUAAAAUACACCUGGUCCUCUCAUAGGUGUCCGCCUCUGCCAACGCAAUGACAUAAGAAGAAUCUCCCAGGACAAUCUCAAUUUUGUCACCUACCCACUGAACCAAACAUUGGUGCAUUGUAGACGGGAUGCAACAAUUAGCAUGAAUCCAAUCUCUCCCCAGUAGCAAGUUGUAAGCACCCUUUCCACUGAUCACGAAGAAAGUUGUCGGCAAGGUUUUGCUGCCGAUGGUCAACUCUACACAUAUUGCCCCUUUGACUAGAGACACGUUCCCUUCAAAGUCUUUGAGCAUCAUAUCGGUCUUGGUUAAAUCUUGAUCUCCUUUUCCAAGCUUCCGAUACACCGCAUAUGGCAUGAUAUUGAUAGCAGCUCCUCCAUCCAUUAAGAUCUUAGUCAUCGGCUGCCCAUCAACCCUUCCUUUGACAAACAGAGCCUUGAGAUGCUGUCUUUCAUCAUCGGCAGGCUUUUCGAAGAUAGCCGUCAUCGGAUCUAGAGCCAACUGAGCUAUUUGAUCGGAAAACUCCACCUCAUCAUCACUGGAUGGCGCAAGGAAUUCCAUCGGCAACAUAAAGACCAUAUUGACAUCUGCCGAUGGACCUUCCCCCUUAGGAUCUGGUUGAUGUCGAUCCUCAGGUUUUCCAGAGCUCUCGCCCUUGCUUAGCCCUUCUUGCCUUUCACGCUGCAAUCUCCUUUUCUGCGUCUUGGUCAACCCUUCCGGACACCACGGAGGAAGCGGCUUCUGCCUUGCUGCUGGGCGUCGACUCUCCCUUGACUCCAUCCGGUGUGUAUUAGCGUCCCUGCAAAAUACGAAUUCGUCGGGAACUCGUGCAUUAGCCAUCUCCUCGAGCUCUUCCUGGUUCCUGGGAAAAUAUGGGACACGAUCACCAAGCCUGUCGUGCACACUGAGUCUGCCCCCCAAACGAUCAUGGACAGAUGCUCUCCCUCUAACCGGCCCAUUGAAGCGCCUAUCAUUAUCACGAUAGUUUCGAUCGGACCUAUCGUACCGAUCAUAAUCGUUGCACUCAGGGCAAUCUCUCACAGUAGGAAGCUUGAUAUUCUCCUCCCAGCAAUGGAUGAAGAACGGACAAUUCCAGUGAUCCCUAUGCCGAUUCCACUCCUGUCGGCGUCUCUCUUCUUCCCGAUGAUAAUCUUCUUGCUGGCGCCGAUAUCGAUCUUCUCGUUGCUGCCAAGUUUCCCGAGGCCUUCUGUGAGUUAUUACAAUCCCAGAUCGGGGAGGCCUUCCUGAGCUGGUUCCUUCCUGGACCAAGCCUCUUCCUCUCGCAUCGGCAGUAGUGACUUGAUGCUGAGGAUCCACCGAUGCACCUCUUUCGGCUGCUUCUGAAGUUAAGACCUUGGCUUUUCCCUUAGCAUCCAACAUGUUCGUUGGGAAAGGAUGUUGGUCAAUCUUCAUCGGCUUCUGGGUCUUAGAGCCGUCAAAUUUGAUCCUCCCAGAUUCUAUAGCCGAUUGCAAUUGCUGUCUGAAAACCUUGCAUUCAUUGGUAUCGUGAGAAGUUGCAUUAUGCCACUUGCAAUAUUUCAUCCUUCUUAACUCCUCAGCCGAUGGGAUCACGUGAUUAGGAGACAGCUUGAUCUGACCUUCCUGAAGUAGAAAGUCAAAUAUCCUAUCGGCCUUGGCGGUGUCAAAAGCGAACUUCUCUGGUUCCUUCCGCCCAAAAGGGCAAGACAUUGGCUUCUUAUUUUUUACCCACUCUGCCAAGCCGAUGACUGGUUCCUCAUCAAAAUCUGAACUUGUUGCUUCAUCGACGAACGACACCUUUUUGUUCCAUGCUCUCUUGGGUUCAAACGGCUUGAUGUCUUGAUCAGAGACUCUCUGCACCAGAUGACUUAAGCUUUCAAACUCGUGAGAUGCAUAUUUGUCCCUGAUGUGUGGCAACAAACCCUAGAAAGCCAAAUCGGCUAGCUGCCGAUCGUCCAGAACUAGACUAUAGCACUUGUUCUUGACUUCCCGUAUCCUCUGUACAAAACCUUCAACCGAUUCAUCAUUACGUUGCCUCAAUUUGACUAAAUCGGUGAUCUUCUUCUCAUGAACCCCAGAAAAGAAGUAUUUGUGGAAUUGUUUUUCCAGAUCGGCCCAAGUAAUCACUGAGUUGGGAGGUAGUGAUAUGAACCAGGUAAAAGCCGAUCCAGACAACGAUGAUGAAAAUAGACGAACCCUUAACUCGUCCCUGUUACCAGCUUCUCCGCAUUGAAUAAUGAACCUAUUGACGUGCUCCAUGGUUGACGUGUCAUCCUGUCCAGAAAACUUAGUAAAGUCCGGAACCUUGUACCGAUGCGGAAGCGGGAUCAAAUCAUAUGCGGGAGGAUACGGUGUCCGAUAAGAGUAAGAUUAACUUUGGGUUUUAUCCCAAAUUGAUCUCUCAUUACUUCAGCGAUCUUAUCGGCCCAGUAUGCAUCGGCAUCUUGCCGAUGCGGUGGUUGUGGAUCCUGCACCUGCUGGUAAGCCUCCACGUGUCUGUUUGGUGCAUGAUCUGCACGGAACAUUGGGUUAAUUAUUAGGCCUCCCACCUGAGGACCACCAAGCUGUUGCCCGCCAAUCUGCUGUCCGCCGACCUGCUGUCCGAAAUUCAUUGGCUGGUUGAGGAUUCCCUGAUUCUGGAAUCCGGGAUAGAUCUGUCCUUGCUGGAACCCUGUAGCCUGGUGACUCUGUUGGGGCGUUUGCGGAAAGACUUGCUGCCCAAGCCAUCCAUUAUUAGCAUUCAUCGGCAUAGGCCCUGCCGAUGACUGGUAAUUGGGUAUCAUCGUUGAAUUGACAUACCCUGAUUGAGCCAUAGACUUCUGUUGCAUCAGCAUCGAGUCUGCCGAUGCGUUGGGUAUCUGGAACAUUGGAGCUUGAGAAUUCCCAGUGUAAGGCCUUGCAGUAGUAGUUGUAGUAGUAUACUAGGGACUCUGAUUCAUCGGCAUAUUGGGAGGUGCCGAUGCCAUAGGGGUCUUGCCUCUCAUAUCAGUCGUCUGCGAUGUACCCGGCGUUAACUCUGGAGGCAUGCCAUAACCCCACUAGUUGGGAGGAGGAGUUAAACCUGUCAUUGCCGAUGCUAACAGAUCUGUGGCAAGUUUAAUCUGCCCAUCUGAAGUCUGUGGAUUAGUUGUCAUCGGCAUAGAUUGUCCGUUGGUUACUCCCAACGUGCUUGGCGGAACAGGAAUCUCCAUACCCGCAGCGGCUGUAGCAGCCGAUGGAGCUGUGACCACUGGUGACUUUGGCUGGUGAUAAGUGGGGCCACAUAAUCUGGUGGCAAUUGUCCCUCCUUGAAAGUUCUUGCCACGGCAUUGAAAACCGUAUUAGACAGUACACCAGCUUGGUUGAUCAAAGCACGGUUGAUAGCGCUGUCAACCAUCUCUUCAAGUUUGCCAGGAUUGGACUCAAAAGUAACCUGCCGAGGUGCCGGCAGUGCAUCCUUUUGAAUCACUUCACAGCUCCUGUUCACGCUGAAAGAUCUCAGGCAUUGCUGCUUGUAAUCCUCCAUGGCUUUAGCAAUAGCUUGCUUCUGCUCAUCCUUGAGAUUGGCUUCCGUCACGGGGAUGACGUUCUCUUGAUCAAACUCAGAAGUCGACAUGUUAAUCUUGAUCUUGGAUCUGUCCCACCGGGCGUGCCAAAAGAUGUGUUGGUGUAAAAGCUAGUCUGCGAACACAAAGGGCUAAUACCCGAUUCAAACGUUAAGGCGUGCCAGCCGAUUUGACCUUACUAUCGGCAAAGGUGGUAACUCGAAUACUUUAGUCCUGACAACAGCGAUGCGCCCGGAUGUCACGGCUAAGAGGUACUCACGCGGAACUUGAGAACACGCCGAGCUUAAGUCGAUGAAUCCCUAAGAACUCGUAGUGAAAAGGAAAAAGUAUGACGAAGUCGUCGAAAAAGUAGAUGCUAGAAUAUGAGUAAAACGUGUGUUUGAUUGAUUGAUAGAUGUCUCAUUACAAGGUCCUAGGGUCUAUAUUUAUACCCUGCUCAAAGAGCUACAACCAGACACGAUUAGAAUUCGAAUUCCAAAUUACACGGAAUCCGUAUACAAAACGAUUUAAAUAAUUAGGGAAAUAAUAAAGCUAUCCCCCGUGACAAGCUGAAACUCUUCCACAAACCGAUCGGCAGCUUCCGGACUCUCCCUUCGUAUCAUCGGCAGAUUCUCUUGCCAUAGUCAUCGGCAGACUUCCUCAUCAUAUCCAUCGGCACAGACACAUCACCACCUAUAGACUUAGUCACGUUCAACCUCUCCUUCAUCGGCAACCAUCCUCAUCGGCAACUCAUUCUGUAGACAAAACACCGCUGUCUCAUCCUGCCGGACUGGACACGUGCCCAAAAACGGUGUCAACAUUUGGCUUUACGGACCCCUGUGGUCCGGGUGUUCAGCUUAUGUUAUUCAUCUCCUGCUGCGUUCAUUAUAAUGUCAAAUGAGUCUGUAACUUCUGUAUGGUCUUGUAACUUAUGUUUCUGAUUGGAAGCAUUCAAGACCUGUAAUUAACAUGGAUGUCUGUGUAGAAGCAUUAUUACAACUUGCAUAAAUGGAAAUAUAAAAUCAGUCAGGUAAAACAUUAGAUUCAUAUAGCUUAGCAUCUCUGGUUCUGGAUCAAAGUAGAAAUGUCAAGUUAUUCUAGACUACUAUGCUUUUUAAUCCUAAUUUGAUAUCUUGUGAUCUUUGCAGUGUUCUUUAUUAAGUUCAACUACAAUAAUUGAAAUGGGUUGACAAGUGUAACACCCGGCCCAGGGCUUAAUAGGAUUAAUAGGAGACUCAUACCAACAAGUUGCAACUUCUUUUCCGAAAGCAGAUAUCUAAAGUACUCUAAAGUUAAGCGUGCUUGGCCUAGAGAAAUUUAGGGAUGGGUGACCGACCGGGAAGUACUUUUUGGGUGUGCACGAGUGAAGACAAAGUGUGCAGAAAAGACUAGUGUUGGUCUGUGGGGACUGACUAUAUCCUAGAAAAGCUGCCAGAUGUAAGCGGGCCUGGCCUCGUGGAGACGGGACGUUACAACAAGGCUUUGAUUAGCGCGUCUGAAAAAAACAAGGUCUCAGUGUAGGAAAUUUGACUGGUUUAGAUUUAGAUUUUGUAUGCAUGCAGUGGAUUGAAGCAACUCAAUAUUUGAUGAGUAGUAGUGCUACAUGACAAAUAAUUUAGUGUUAACUUGGAAAGUGGUGUUAAACCUUCCAAUUUGGUCCCUAUUGAUUGAUCGUUUAGUUGCAUCUUUUCUUGUUGUCACGAGUUUGGUACCCAAUAUUAUUUGUGGUUUCUGGCUAUGUUUGUCUUGAGUUCAGCUUGGUGUGCCUAAUCAACAUUUGUGUCUUGUACUUUAUUUAACUCUUAACUUCAAUAACAAGGUUAAUCUAAUAUUAUGUGAACAAGGCAUUAGUUUAAUCCUAGAACUCAUUUAGGCUAGACAACAAAAUAUAUAAUAUAUUGUGAUAGAUAAGAAUUAGGUUAUGUUUGUAUAAUAUGCUACUUUCAUGUGCUUAUUGUGUCGCGUUGCAUUUGGAGUGCUUCCUUGAAAUGAUUUGUGAUCAUUCUUGGGUAUUUAUUUUGUUGUAAAAUCACAUUCUACUUCAUUGUUGAUUCAAUAAUAAGAUGUUUGGAAGAUUUGCACCUUAGCCAAAUAAAAAUUAUUUAGUUGACUGUAUCAUGUGCAAAGUGCAUGCCACUAGUUUGUAUGUUGUACUGUUGACAACUUGACAUUUGCUCAUCUGAUGUGAUGCUAUGUAUUUGAAGGUGUUAUAAUGUACAAUGAUCUAACAUCACAGUUCAUUCUAAUCUCUAAUGGUAAUUGCGGACAUGAGUUUGAAAGUGGGUGAUAUGUAAGAAUAUUGGUACGUUUGCUCAUCUGAUGUGAUGCUAUAUAUUUGAAGGUGUUAUAAUGUACAAUGAUCUAACAUCACAGUUCAUUCUAAUCUCUAAUGGUAGUUGCGGACAUGAGUUUGAAAGUGGGUGAUAUGUAAGAAUAUUGGUCUAACGUGCUAGCUGAAAGACUCGAUUAGAGUAAUAAAUUUCAUUUGCAGUCUUUAAUGUAUACUGAACUUCAAGGAUCUUUUUUAUAUGAAUUUUGUUUCUUAUGUAUCUUGAAUUACAUUGCCUCACUAAUAAUUUUCUGGUUGUGGUUUGGCUUGCUAGCAGCCGCAUUAAUGGUAAUGGUAUAGAACAAAAAAAUUUAGUUAGCAAAUUUGAUGAUCUGUUUAACUGUAAACUUCCAGUCUGCAAUCUUCAUGUAUUUGUUUAACUCCUACAAGAACUUCUUUAAGUAUAGACUACUCUUUGUUAAAGAAUGCAGUGAAUUGAUAAGAUCUUUUUUCUUCUCUGAUGCGCAACUAAUAGUGUUAAAUUGGGAGGGUAGCUUUGCAGUUUGUGGGGACACAUGCAUUUACAUACGUAAAGACGUCCGUAUAGCUCCAUUUUGAACAGGUAGUUUCAUUUUUUUCUAUUCACAUAGCUUCUCUCUUUGAGCUUUCAUUUGUAGUUUGAUUUGGUUCCUGGGCUCUCUUGGAGGAAAUGAGGGUCUAGGCCUUUUUUUAGUCAUAACUCUGACUGAAUCGAUGACACGAUCAAAGAAAAAAAGGUCUGAUGGUGGUAUUCUCUAAUAGUGUUGCAUUUGACUUAGGUCAAGGUGCAUGCUAGAUUUAUUGGCACCAAAGUCUUGUGUCUUAUUUCUCCAAAUAUUGAGUCUCACCCAUUUCUUGCAAUUCUUCUCUAAAUUAUCAUCACAAAGAGAACAUGAAGACCUACUUUAAUAGAAAAUAUUUUGAUAUAUAGUUAUAGGCUUAUGGCAAAUAAAUGACGAAUAGUUGCUUCAUGUUGUUGAGUCUCACGAAAUGGUGGUUUUUGCUAACUGUACUUACGACAGGAAUGAGGAAUGAAGUUUGAAUAGUUUCUUGUUGUUGAGCCCCAUGAAAUGGUGGUCUAUGCUAGUGAUGGUCACCUGAUGGCAAACUUGAGUACUAUAAAAUCUCAACUAUUGUGCUUAUUUGGUUCCAAGGCAUAUUCUCCUUAGGAUGAUUGCAUUUGCUUCAGCUGUUUGUGGUUAUCUUUG
rnacentral:lncRNA from 1 species